rnacentral:lncRNA from 1 species
UUGUGGUUGAUUGACAUCCCGGUGGAGAUAAAAUUCAGGACCAACUGUUAGCUUUUUGUGAAGCAAAAACAUUUGGUAAAAAAUCGUAGAAACCCCAAUAAGUCGAUUUAUAGUUGAUAGAAGAAGUAUGAUUUGGUGUUGGUGUGUGUGAACUUCUGACAUUUUGAUCUCUGAAUGCUAGUUGGACAUUUUGCUAGUCUGGCAUUUUGAUAUCUGAAUGCUAGUUUGACAUUUUGAUAUCUGAAUCCCUUUCUCCUCUCAUCUUUUCUUCUUCUGCUCUCUGUCUGACCCCCUUCUCAUCUCUCUUUUGAACCAGGACGUCACCAUGGGAGAAGAGGGCGUGAUGUCUUGUGCUGCUGCUUGGGAGGGACGCCACGGGCCUCCCUCCACUUCUUCUUCUCUUCCCCUAACUCCAUCAAGGUGAUGGAUUGGUACAAUGACCUACUCCCCUGCUUCCUAUGCUAAUUUGGUGUGCAAUGUGGAUGUGAUGUAUUUUAGGCACGAUUAAAUACGUAUUUUCGUUCAACUUUGACUGAAACAACUUGUUGUUUUAGUUUCUUGUAUGAAGAACAAAUAUGACGAACACAUUUUCUUUUCCUUUUUGUUCAAGAUUCAUUUCUAAUUAUAAACCAAACUGAAAUUGCAAAUAGUCUAGAAUGAAUGAAGCAGAGAGUCCUUCCUUCUUUGGCAGCUGGCACAAUUCCUUGUACAAUUCCUUCUCAAGGUGCUGGUGUUUGUGGAGGUGAUUGACCUCUUUUUUUUCACUCUGUGUAUCAAGGUGCAACUGCUGAGGAUUGAUAGGUGUUGUUCGGUGUACCUCGACAUGAUUUCCAGGACAUGAAAUGUGAGCUAUCUAAGCUGAUUCUUUGUUCCCGAACAUGAUUUAUCCUUCGAUUUGAUCAACAUUAUCUUGUUAUGUCUCUUGUCUAUCAUGUGCAGCGGCAACAGGAUUUGCAGAGUACAAGGGUGGGCUCAUCGAGGUUUGUGGUGGUAGGCUCGCUCGGCCCUGGCAUCUUCUGUUGAACGGACAUGCUGCCUCUUCAGUGUCGGCUACAUGAGAGCCAUGGUGAGCUCUCUUCUCCCCGCCUCCGUUUGCUUGCUCUGAGCUUGUGCUUGUGAGAAAUUACAUGUCACCUCGCUUGAACUCCCUAGCUACACCACACCUUGUUGAAUACACUAGUCAUGCUCUUGCAUACAUGUUUUGUUGGACGAAAAAAUGUACAAUGAUCUACUCCUUGGGAUAUUAAUUCUUAUGAUAUAUCUUGUAAUUUACUUUAUUGUAAAAGUUAAACCCACUACACAUGUUGAGUAGAAAUUGUUUUAGUUUGUCAUACAUAAUUGCCUAUGCUUGUUGGUAGCUAUUAAGUGUAUAAUUCAUCAUGGAAGCAUAGGAAUGUGAUGGACAUCAUCAGAUUACAUUUAUGUUCUGAACUUAUAUAUUUAAACUCAGUGUUUAGAUUCUGUAUCUGUAAUCAUAAGCUUCACUUGUAGUCUGGUCGUUCUAAGACAUAUUAUUGUUUGAGUUAAGUUCACCGAACAAUACUUAAAAUUUCAGGAAUCAAUGAAGCUGACCUCCUUGUAGAGUUGUGCGAGGUACCAAAUGAUGACCUACUCGCGCAGUUGUGAUAGGUACCGAUGACCUCCUCAUACUCACCGAUAACAAGUCUGGUUUCACAUUUGUUGGGCACUAUGCUUUUGGUGUAUGAUAUGGCUAGGAGAAAACACACAGUUUCCUGCAUUGUCUGAUAAUGUCAAUUUGUUCUGUAAGAUCUGAGUUUAUUGUACUAUAAAUGGUGAUAAUAUUGCGCCUAGUAUGUUCACGACCUUUUACAUUGUAUGGAUAAUUGGAUAGACUGAGCUACCGUCUUCCCCUGUAUACUCCGCAGUCAAACACAUAUGAUAGAGUAGAUAUUUUCUACCUGUAGCAUCAUGGAGGUAUUAACUACCUGAUGUAUUCGUAGAACAACAUCAUGUUUGAAUAUGCCAAAUGUUUGGGCCUAAUGAUGUUCUGUAUUGGGCGGCUGGUUUAUUACUUUCUUUCAAGGUUUAUGUGCAAUGUUGGAUUAAUGAUUGAAGUGCAUUAGCGGUUUAUCUUCUUCUUCACAAGUCUGUUUGCAAUGGAUGGACAUAACUGUCAUUUUUACCUCUUGCAUAUUUGACAUAAAUGACAAUAGCAGUAGGUAUUGAAAUAUAUGUGAAGGUAGAAGCUAUCAUUGUUUCCUUGUGGGUCGUAAUUCUUUCUCUCCAGACGCGUAUACUGCCUGAUGUAUCGCUCAUGCUCAUAUUCUGUAUCGAGAUAGUCCUAAUAUCCAUCGGGUUGUAGAUUGAUUACCCCUGAAAAAGCUAUGCUUCUUUCCUUGGAUGAUAAGCAUGGUCGGCAGCUAUGUGGAAUCCUUAAGAUAAGUGGUCUUUAGUUUCUUUUGGUGCAUCUGCGUGCACAUAACAGUCUGUUAAUUUCUCUUUGUAUAAUGAAGAAAAUAUGUCGUUGUCGUUUGUUUAUUAUUAUCUAUCAUCUGUAGAUUGAUUUUUAGGCCAUCAGUACUUCUAUGUAUAAUUUCUAGUCUCUUGAAUGAAUAAUUUUUCUUUAGGUGCCAUGCAUCUUGUGUUACUACAUACAUUUGUCGUGAAGUACAUGGUUCCAGAACUAUGGUAACCCGUAGUUUGCUCAAUUGGUGAUAGUAGGAUGAUGGAAACAUCACUACUGAAAGUAGUUCCUCUUCCUUCAACUAAUCAUCAUGUACUAGAGUUUCUCUUCUUCUUACUAUUGUUUGGUUUUUGGCGUCACUAGCUUAUACUGAAACGUGCAGACUUUACCCCUUGCUAGAUCCUUUGGUGGAGGUGACCCAUGUGAUGGUGAUUCGCUCCAACAGUUCUGGUCUGGAAGUGGUGGUGCUACACUGCUACUGCUCCUAUGAUGGCUAUGCAUUGGUAGGCUCGGCAGCCUCCCUUGGCUGUCGUUGUGAUGGUGAAGCUCGGCCUAGGCUACAACCACUUCCGAUGAGCUCCUCAGGUCGCCUUCUACCCCUCCUACUCACUCCAUGAUUCUUUGCUUUGCCUUUGUGAGGUGUAAUUGUUUAAUUCUUGUCAUAGUCGAGAAUUGGAUGAUAUAUUGUAUCUGUCAUGAGGUACAUGGUUCAUGGAUAUGCCAACCUGCAGCUUGUUGUACUAGUGAUAGUAGGAUAAUGCAAGUUUUGACAAUCCAUACAUAUUCCUGCAUGUUAGUGUCUCUCCAUGUAAGUACGAAUUCUAGUGAGAAGAAUACAAUUAUUAUUUAACCAGUCCAGAUUUUCAACAUUUGAUGUGCUUCCAAGGGACACAGAUCUCUACUCUUCUAUAUAAUACACACUUUGUUCUACAAGCAAGUCAGUUGUACCAUGUUGUUACAUCACAACAAGGUGUCAUUUGAUGUACUAUUGUUGUUGAUGCUCCCUAGAGUCUAGAUGUAGAUGUACUGUUGCUGUUGAUGCUCUAGUUGUAGCCUGUACUAUUGCUGUUUUGCAACUACAGUGUUAGUUUCGCUGCUGCUAGCUGUUGGCUGCUACUAGUUAGUACUUAAUAGUUAUUGCUAGCAGUGCUAGUAGCUACUGCUGCUGAUAUUGCUUGUGCAAUUGUGCUAGUAGCCAGUAGAUGUUCAUUGCAUGACCUGCACUAGUAGCUAGUAGAUGUGUUGGUACCUGUACGCUAGUACUGUUGGUGUGUUGAAUGUCUUAGUAGAACAUCAUCAGGUUGAUGUGUUGUAGUCAAGUUUUGGAAGUUUUGCCAUGCCAUGCUGAGUGUUUACUGAACUGAGGUAUUUGGGGAUUUAUGUGUAAUUUUAUUCUCUUGAAUGGAUAUUUUUUAUUGGCAAUCAUUUAACUUCCACUGUAUCUCACUUAUAAUGUUUUUGAGGUGGCUGCUGUUGUGACCAUGAUCCGAAGAAGCUUGGAGAUGUGCACUAUAGUUUUAGUUGAUGUUGCCACCAUGUUUUGAUGCAUGUGUAUUUAUUUUUGAUUGUAUGCAAACUUGAUGGAUCAUGCAGACGUAUAUGUGUGGUUGUGAGUUUCAUUGAGUGAUUUCUGGAUUUGAUUAUUUAAAUGAGAGAAUUAUUGAUUGUUUGCUGUUGAAUGUGUAAAAGAAAUCUGUGACUAAAAAGGCUGAAUGUUCUAUUGGAUCGAAUAAUAUUUGGGCUCUAAAAAGGCUAUGGCCCAAACAAUAGUGGAUUGGAAUAUUGCGCAUUUACGAAAAAGGUAUAAAAAGGCUUAAUUAAAUGGACUAUGAAAUGGAUGAGGCCUAGAAAUAAAAAGGCUGAAUUGUUGGGCUUGGCCCAUGAAGCCGAUCAAAAAUUGAUAGGAAAAAAAAUAAGGCCAAAUUAUUGGGCUCGGCCCAUGUAAAACAUCGAAUUAGACCGGGCUGAAUCUUGUCAAUGACCUUUUCAAUUGGUCGCAAUUUUGCCACAUCAGAUUGCCACGUCGGAUCCGACGUGGCCUGGGUAGACAGCCAGUGACCAAAACAAAAGGUCAUGGGUUCAACGACCUUUUGUUUUUGUCAUAAACGUCUACGACCUUAUCCGAAAGAAGGUCGUUAAUUUCAGUUUAUGACUGCCAGCUUUUGACCAUCUGUUUUUCGUCACAAAAAGGUCACAAAUGAAAAUCAAUGAGCUUUCAGCGACCAAUAGUGAGGGUCACAAGUUGACAUAUUUCUUAUAGUGGGCAAGGGCAAAAUGGUCAUUUUCAGAAUGUUAGAACAUUAUGAAAACGCCACCAACAAAACAGGCUCGACGAACAGAGAACGUGGGCUUUUCAAUCACUUCAAUUGGAGUUAUGGUUGCGGAGACAUGGCUGUUCGUUCAUUAGGCAAAAAAUCAAAUAAAAACUAUUCGUUUCUACUCAUAAUGGAUGAACGUUCACAAAAUAGAGGUUACAGUCAGGGGCUGGAAAACUGAAAGCACAGUUUGGUUUAAUACAUCUUCGAUCGGAGAAAAUGUAAUCUUGCCCGAAGAGCCACUAGAAUACGCUUUUGGGAGGGGAAGUCAUAUUCUAUGGAAUACGCCUCCACUUAUCGAGCUGGACCAGGGCUGGAGAGGCUGACGAGUGGGGUUGUGAGGGAAGUGGGGCCCGCCUGGCCCAGCUCGUAUACUUCCUCGCCCUGUCCCCCCGUGCGGAACAUAGGAGGGCUAGAGCAGGGGCACUGCUGGUGCUGGACCGGCCGGCUCCAGCACCUCCGGUCGAGGCGAGGCCACCGGCUGGACCGGAGCGGAGCGCCGCGUCCACUUGAAUGCAAUAGCCGCGCCGAGGAGAGGUUGAGCGAUGGCUGUAUGCAGUGGCCACUGGCAGGGGCGGCGACCGAACUUUGGGCGCGUGGCCAUAGAGGCUCCAACGACAAAACAAGGGGAGGGGAAGGUGCGCCAGAGUGUAGGGGAGUUACUAGUAGACGAAGGAGGAAGGAAGGGGCUCGGUGUGGCUCGAAUUCAAGCGGGGCCGGCGGCGGCCAUAGCGGACAGAGGUUAGGAGGAGAGGCUCCGGUGCUCGAGGAGAGUGCUAUGGGUGGCGACUAGAUGUGGAGGAGUUCAAGGGAGAUACUUAUAGCCGUAGGGAGGGCUUGGGAAGGCUCUAUAGCACACGGUCGACAAUCCAUGGAGGUGGGGACGGCGGUCGGGUGACGGGCACGGCCAGAGAACCGCGUAGGACGUGACCAGAGAGAGGGUGAGGGGUCCACAGCGAGGGCGACAACACGGGGAAGCUCUUGGGCAAAGCUAGGCGAUGAGAGCUUGAGGGAACAGAUGAAGACGAGGGCCCCAUUCUCCAAAGCACAUGGAUGGGCAUGCCAGUCGCGUAGUCACCGCGUGAAUGCGAUGGUGACCCGUGCUCUGGUCGGCCCAACCAUGUUUGAGAGACUAGUCAUUCAAGAGAGAGUGCCAAGGAUCAAAGGAACAAGAACACGGGCUCAAGAAUUGACCACAGCUUGCUAGAAGACAAAGGAACAACAAAGUGUUUGUACUGGGUGGGGGAGAAUGGCCUAGCGAAAGAUUCUGAGAUUUGUUUGGGGUUGAUCAUACACAAAGAUGACCAUUCAGGACAAAAUAGGAAAAUGAAUAAUCCUGAAAUAUUUUUGAACUGGAGGAGGAUGUGUUUUGACAUAUUGGUGGAAUAUAUGAUCCCAAGAAUUUAUGAGAAUUCUGUGGGAAUUUUGGGAAUGACAGAAAUAUAGGUUGCUUCACAACCUCGGGCAAACAGGGUUAUUCCUUUGAUACAAAAAAAGGAAUAUUCCCAAGAAUAAGAAUUUGUGAUUGGGCUAAUAUGGAAAUGACAUGGUCUUGGUAUGGGUUUGAGGAUGACAAGCCACUUGGGAGACUGAGAAGAGAUGAUCUUCCCACAUUUCCAGACCACAGAAAGCCACAGAAAAGCAAUCCAAAGCAAAAAUUCAAUGAAUCCAAAGAAAAAAGAAAGAGACAAAGAUCAGGGUAUUACAAACCUUCUCCCCUUAAAGAAAUCUCGUCCUCGAAAUUUGGUUGCUCAGGGAACAAGUAUGAAUAUUCUGUCUCAAGGAAACCGUUUCCAACUCGGGUAUGUUUUUUUGGUUUAUAUAUGAUGUUCCCACUAAAUUUCAUAUGACUUAACUGCCUCACUCUGGGUUGUUUUGCUCACUAUAUCCAUAUUCUGACAAGGCUUACCUGAUAUGUUACUCUGAUUCCAACUCUUUUAUAUCUGCUAGCUUAUCUAAUAUAUUGUCAUGACUGGCAUAUGUCAUCUUCCCACAUGUGCAGUUGUGAUUUCCAAUUGACAUGUCAUUCUUCUCUACAGCUGUUGGGGAUAUAAUCCCAUGAUAUAACCUGCCAUGGUUAGGUCGGGUCAUUUAGGUGGUGGCUGAGGAGCAAGGAUUCAAGAUGGGCUGAGGCGCCUAGGUCAAGACCCAUUAGGCGGCUCAUAGAGUGGGACAGCUUAGGGCCCAACAUCCGAAGAUGGCGGCUCAUGGCCGUGAAGACCAAGUUGCCGGGAGUUUGCUUGCUUAAGAGACAAGUUAGGAACAUACCAAGUCACGGGUCAUAGUACGACCCAGACUCGUGUAAGCCCUGGGUAUAAAGGCAGGUCUCAGGAGAGAUAGGACUAAGUUUCAAUCGAUCAAUAGCUAGGUCAAGCAAUCCACUCACUUGUAUUGAUCUCCAAAGGAAUAACAAAAACAAGAAGGAAGUAGGAUAUUACCUCGAUCGUAAGGGGCCGAACCUAGGUAAACUCGUGUCUCUCAAUUCCGCUCAACCCCGACAAGCUAACCUCCUAGUUGCAAUGGCCUCACGAGUAAGUCCUCACAAUAGGACAUUUGCCGUGACAAAACCAUGAGAGUUGGCACCCACCAUGGGGCGAGCUCAUGGUGGUUUCCAGUUCUUGAAGGGCUCUUUCCUAGGGAUCGAGGAAUAUGUCGUUGGCAGGAUGACCAAGAGUCGUCGUGGAAAGCUCUACAUCCACGAUGCCAGCUGGGGCCCCGAGGCCGACUCAAUCGAGUACAGGUACCGGGUCCCCUUCAGCAGAAUCCACGUAUUCAUCAGCAAGAUCUGUAGAUCCAAGCUUGAGCUGGACACCUACACUGACCUCGUCGAGCCGGCUCGACAUGCGCCACCCGCCCGGUUCCAUGCUUCCGAAAGCAUGUUUUCGCGGGUGCACGCAAGGUGUGGAACCGCGGAAAAUUCCGUGUCUGGAGGAGAGACUCUCAUCUACUCCGAUGCUGAAUCUUCAACAGGAGAGACAGAGUCAAUCUACCAGCUUCAAGACGGCAGGCUUGGGGGCUGUUCUGAUGGAACAGUAUUCCGUACCCGUACGAGCCACCGAGCCGCCAUCUUCAUAGAGGGUAUGGUGCCGGCUCUCAACAUCACGAUGGACAGAGCGACAGCAACGACGGGCCCUUCAGGAUCCGGUUCAGCCAAGCCCCCGGCUCAGGUUUUAUUUGAGUUGAUGGACACAUUGACGACCUUAUAGGGGACCGAGGUCACGGCAGAAAACCAGGCGAAGUGCAAUACGGAGAUUGCGAAUAUUCGGGAACAAAUGACCAAGUCCCCGGAGGAUAUAAAUGCUAAAAACGCAAAGACGACUGCACUACAAGCUUAGGUUAAUGCUGAGGCGGAGCGCCCGAAAGCGGAGGCUUGGUGUUUAACUCUUGAUCAGAACACAUCUAGUGUGGUUUACAAGAGGAGAUAUCAGAGCCAUUUACCUCCGGGUUACGAACCAACACGUUUGUUUAACACUCUCGGGGCAGGCCCAAGUACUCCAGGAGCGUUGGUUAUACCCCAAUUAUCCAUGGAUGCACCUAGAAACAGAGCAGCAACCCAACCUCACCAGCCAGAGCCGGUCCUGAGAGAAGAGCCAGGACCAACCCGCCCCCCAUUCGGACGCCGCCAUCGUGCUUUCCGACACCGCCGGGUCACUUCUCCAACCCGGUGGAUAACAUGGUGGCAGCGGCAACCCAGCUUACCACAAUUCCCAUUGUCGGUGAAUCACCAAUAGCAGUUGAAACCCGGAAUGCCAUUGAACUGUUGCAGAUAGUGAUCACUCAGCAAGCUAAUUACUCUUACAGCCGGCACCAUGUACACUCUACACUGAUAUCGAUUCAUAGUAUAGCCAGCAUGCGGAGUCGCCGGCGGUUUCAAGCAGCGAACGAUGCCGUAACCCGCCAUAGGAUAACCCAUCCCUUAUCCCGAGGACUGAUGCUCAAGCAAUUGUGGAUGGUGCAAGGGUCCAUAGAGAGGCAGAGGCAGCAAAGCAGGGGCCUUAUCAGCUGCCCCCAACGGCGUUUCUUCAUCUUCUAUAGGAGCCGGGUCUAGUGCGAGAACCAUUGGAAUGUCGUGUCUAGUUCCAUCUUUAUGUAACGAGCGCAUGCCUAAAGAUUUUAAGGGUCCUCGCAAAGUGCCCAAUUACAUGACGGAUCUCCCUCUGGAGGCUUGGAUUGAAAGCUACGAGCUCGCCAUGGAGAUGUUGGACGUCAGUGAGGCGCUGUGUGCCAAGUAUUUCGAUGUGAUCUGGAUGAGUCGGCCCAUCAUUUGGCUCGCUGGAUUGCGGCUAUCAUCCACUCUUCAGAUAGCAUCCAGGAGGCUCAAGCUGUGUUGCUCUUGGAGAAAAACUGUCAUUUUUAGCCUCUUGGGCAAAAGCUCAGGCGGCUUAAGCGCAAGUGCACGGACAUGGGAAAUCUCAUGGACAUACUUACCAGAUAUGUUAAUUCUGACGCUAUGAAGGAUACUGGUUCCGAUGAUGAUAAAUCUAGCAAGGGCAAGAAAAACGGCAACGACAAGGGACAACAGCAACAUGCCCAGGCACAAAAUGGUAACGAGAACAAUUAUGGUAAUGGUGGUAAGCGCAGACACCCCGAUGGCGGGACAGAUCUGGUGGCUAACACUAAUACAGGUUAGAAGACCCAGCGUCGCAACAACAAGCAGCCAUAUAAUGGAGGGAAACCGAAAUAUUAUGAGGAAGCCCUUAAUGCACCGUGUCCAAAGCAGUGUUAUCCUAACAAGCCAUCUUCUCAUGCUUGGAAGGAUUGUUACAUCAUGCAGGAGUUCAGGAAUCAGUCAUUUCAACAACAUCAUGGCAACAACAAUGGGCCGCUCGGCGGGUCAGGCGGUUUCCAAGGAGCCGACUUUAGUGGCGGCCGCUCAAAUUUAGGUUACUAGAACCAAGGGAAUCAUGGUGGUUAUAGUCAGUAGUCUGGUCAGGAUAGUCAGUAGCAAAACAAUCAAUCCAAUAUUAGAGUAAUCCUAAGCAGCUUAACCAUGGCCAAUAUCAUGUUUUCACUACAAACACUUGCAAGCAUGACCGGAAAGUCCAGAAGCGGGCGGUCAACACGGUUGAGCCAGCGGUCCCCCAAUAUUCGAGAUGUUCUAAGCACACGAUUACCUGGAGACGGGCGGAUCACCCAUCCCGGAUUGAUGAUCCGGGUCAUCUAGCUCUGUUGGUAGCCCCUCAAGUGGGCAGUUACAAGUUCACAAAGGUACUUAUGGAUGGUGGAAGCAGCAUCAACAUAUUGUGCUAUGACACUUUAUGAUGGAUAAAUCUGAUAGAGAAGGAUCUUAAGCCAUCCUCCACAUUGUUUCAUGGAGUGGUGCCUGGCAAGUCAGUUUACGCUAUUGGAAAGAUAGCUCUAGAAGUGGCCUUUGGUAAUCAGUAUAAUUACAAAGCAGAGACAUUGUGGUUUGAGGUGGUCAAGAUCAAGAGUCCUUAUCAUGCACUGUUUGGACGGCCAGCUUACGCUAAAUUCAUGGCUCGCCCUUGUCAUAUCUAUUUGCAGUUGAAGAUCCCAGGGCCAUGAGGGAUGAUAACAGUUCACGAAAAUCACAAACUCGCCCCGGAGUGCGAAGAAGGAGAUGCUACUUACGCAGAGUCGGCUUGUGCUACUGAGGAGCUUAAGUUCUAUAAAGAUAUGUUGACCGAGCUGAUAUGACCCCUCUGAACAAACACACUACUAAGAAGGACCCAUUGCUCAUGUUUAAGUCGGCAAAGGACACACAGCAAGUGGAUUUUGUCCCUCGUGAUUCUUCUCAGCAGUUCACCAUUGGGACCGAGAUGGAUCCCAAAUAGGAAAGCAUGCUCAUUGAGUUCAUCCGUGAGAAUCAGGACAUCUUUGCAUGGAAACCUUCUGACAUGCCAGGUGUACCAAGAUAAUUCACUGAGCACCACCUUAAGUGGAUCCUAAGAUGAAACAUGUCCGAUAGGUCCUUCAUCGUUUUAACGAGGAGCGACGCAAGGCCAUUGGAGAAGAAGUGGCCCGACUCCUAGCCGUCGGGUUCAUCAUUGAUGUUUUUCACCCUCAAUGGUUUGCUAACCAUGUGCUCAUGCUCAAGAAAAAUGGCACUUGGCAUAUGUGUGUUGAUUACACAGAUCUUAACAAGGCUUGUCCAACUGAUCCAUUGGCUCUCCCCCGUAUGACCAAAUCAUUGAUGCAACAUCUGAUUGUGAGAGUUUGUGUUACCUGGAUGCUUAUUUUUGUUAUCAUCAGAUCAAGAUGGCAGUGGAGGACCGGGAUAAGACAACCUUCAGCACACCCUUUGGAGCUUUCUAUUAUGUGUCUAUGCCUUUUGGGCUUAAGAGUGCUCACGCGACUUACCAACGAUGUGUUCAGAACUGCUUUCAUGGGCAGAUUAGACACAACGUUCAUGCUUACAAUGACGACAUUGUGGAAGAAGGACACCUUGCUUGAUAGUUUGAAAGAAUCUUUUGAUAACCUCUGGGUUUACAAGAUGAUGCUUAACCCGGCCAAGUGCGUUUUAUAUGUGCCCGCAGGAAAGUUGCUAGGUUUUCUGGUUUCCGAAAGGGCCAUCGAAGCUAACCCGGAGAAGAUCAAGGCUAUCACAUCUCUGUCUAAGCUGGCGUGUAUCAAUGAUGUUCAAUGCCUGGCGGGUCGCAUUGCAGCCUUGAUCCGUUUUGUAAACCGCCUUGGGGAGAAGGUGAUUCCCCUAUACCAGAUGACAAAAAAGACUAAUCAUUUCAUCUAGAGGGAUGCUGCUAAUGAGGCUUUUAAGGCGCUUAAGAAGCAAUAGCUGAGCCGCCCAUCUUGGCUACUCUAAUAGAUAAAGAGCCUCUUCUCCUGUACAUGGUGGCUAAAACUAAAGCUGUCAGCAUGGCAGUUGUUGUGGAGUAAAAAGAGGCGGGCAAAGAGUAUCCGGUCCAACGUUCAACUUAUUAUGUCAGCGAAGUCUUGAGGGAGUCCAAGCAGAGAUACCCACAUUGGCAGAAGCUGGUGUUUUGGGGUGUUCAUAGCUAGCCACAAACUCAAGCAUUAUUUCCUUGGGCAUCCAAUCACUAUGGUCAGUUCUGCUCCUCUGGGGGAUAUCAUUCAAAAUAGAGAGGCCAUUGGCCAGGUUGCUAAGUGCGCAAUUGAGCUUGGGCCACAUCAUCUAAAGUAUGUGCCUAGAACAACCAUCAAGUCUCAACCUUUGGUAGAUUUUAUCAAUUAUUGGACAGAGCUAAGAAGACCCAAGGAGAAGCCAGACAAUACGUAUUGGACGAUACACUUAGAUGGAUCCAGGAAGUUGGAAGGAUCGGGGGCUGGAGUUAUUUUAUCUUCCCCACGGGGUGAUAAGUUUUGCUAUGUCUUGAGACUUAUGUUUCCUUGUACUAACAAUGCAGCUGAGUAUGAAGCUUUAGUACACGGGCUCCGUCUGGCCAAGGAGAUAUACUUGAACCGGGUAAGAUGCCUUGGCGACUUAGACCUUGUUGCACAGCAAGUAUGAGGGAAGUGGAAUUCUAAGACCCGCUCAUGGCGGCUUAUCAUCAGGCAGUGACCAAUAUUGUUGGUAACUUUUAUCAAGUGGAUCACAUAGAUUGGCGGCAAAAUGAGCCAACUGAUGCACUGUUCCGGCUAGGGUCUCAGCAUAAGCCGGUUCCCCCUAAUGUGUUCUUGAUGUCCUGCAUAAUCCUUCUGCCAAGUUACCCUCAGAAGAAGACCUAGCCAUCCCUGACCCGGAGGGGCAGUUGGUGACGUCUCUAUGUUCUAUUCCAGAUUGGACGAAGCCUUACAUAUCUUACUUGACUCGGGGCGAGUUGCCAGAAGAUGAACUUUUGUCACGGCGGAUUAUAAGGCGGUCUAAGUCCAUGACAAUUGUCAAUGGCGAGUUACACAAAUGCAAUGUAACUGGCGUGUUUCAAUGUUGUGUGUCCCCUGAUGAAGGCUGAGAAAUUUUACAAGAAAUUCAUGCAAGAGACUAUGGUCAUCAUGCCGGGUCAAGAUCUCUCAUGGCUAAAGCUUUUUGACACAGUUUUUUUUCUGGUUGACGGCUCACGCUGAUGUAGAGGACAUUGUCCGUAAGUGUAAUGGUUGCCAAAAAAUUUCACGACAAGCUCAUGUGCCGGCUCAAGAAUUGCGGAUGAUCCCAAUAACUUAAAUGUUUGCGGUUUGGGGGCUUGAUAUGGUCAGUCCCUUCAAGAGGUCUAAGGACAAGAAAACUCACCUUUUUGUUGCAGGUGACAAAUUUACAAAGUGGAUUCAAGCAGAGCCAGUCAUCAAUUGUGAGGCGGCAACUACAGUUUAGUUUAUAAAGAGGUUGAUCUUCCAUUUUGGUUAUCCUCAUAGUAUCAUCACCAACAAUGGGACAAAUCUAUCUAAGGGUGCUAUGAAAGAAUUCUGUCAAAGCGAGCAUAUCUGACUUGAUGUUUCAUCUAUGGCUCAUCCACAAUCCAAUGGCCAAGUGAGUGUGCUAACCAGGAGAUAUUAUGAGGGAUCAAGCUCUGGCUCAUGGUUUCUUUGGAGCGCACCCCGGGUUGUUGGGAUGAAGAGCUUCCUGCAGUUCUGUGGAGCAUAAGGACUACCCCCAAAAGAUCGACGGGUUACACGCCGUUCUUCAUGGUUUAUGGUGCAGAGGUGGUUCUCCCAACUAAUAUCCAUCAUGACUCGCCUAGGGUGGUGGCAUACAUUGAAUCAGACAGUGAGAAAGCCCAUCAAAUUGCUCUGGAUGCCUUGGAGGAGGAACGUGAUCUUGUUGCGGCUCGACCGGCGAUUUACCAGCAAGACAUGCGUCACUAUCAUAGCUGCAGGUUUCGAAGCCGCACUUUCCAGGAGGGCGACUUAGUGCUCCAUUUGAUUCAGGAUUAGACAAUCAUGCAUAAGCUUUCACCUCCUUGGGAAGGGCCCUUUGUGGUCAGCAAAAACCUCAACAAUGGGUCAUAUUAUCUCGUCGACAUAUGUGAGCACAAUAGGUCACGUACCUUUGAGAAGGAGACCAAUAGGCCUUGGAAUAUUUCUCAUCUUCGGCCUUACUACACUUGAGCCAUCGGCUCUAGUCAUUGUACACACAUAUCAUGUAUAUAUCUUUUAUGAUGAAAUAUAAUAAAGCAGGCAUCCCUGAAACUUGGGGCCUCUAUAGUUUCAUCUCAUAUAUUGUGCAUGAGUAUUUUAUUUGUUGAUCAUAGGUCACUUGGGGGCUUCCAACUCAUUGAGUUUAGCUUUCUCACCCUUUUGACCUGGCAAAAAAUGCCACCUUAUUGGUUAAACCUUCAUGUAUUCUUGAUGCUACUCCAUAAAGAUGACCCGUCGUACUCUUGACAAGUCAAUUUUUAUGACCCUGAACUUGUGAAAGUUAAAGUGGCGGAUUAAGUCAUGUGAGAGAUGGCUUACGGAAAUCGAGGAUAAACCAAGGCUAUCAUGCCAGCUUCCUUGAAGCAAGACUUGAGCCUCGAAAGCCAGUCUUUUUCUCAAGCCUCGGAAGCCGACAUACAAUUAUUCCGUAUAUAUGAAUAUUGUUUAUCUUUGUUUUUUGUAGGAUAUUUUAAAAUCUUAAUCACAUUAUAGCAAUGACUAUACAUCUCCGAGUCAAAAGACCUCCGGGUUGCUUAUGAUGGCUAUUGAGCCUUUGUGGACCAUGAGUCACCGGGUUAUCAACCCGCAAUUGCUUUUAAACAAUCAAUUUUCAUGACUAUAAGUCAUCGAUACAUAACUCGCUAGAUUAUUUCACACCAACUAUGAAUUGGUGGAAUUUUUUGCACAUGUCAGAGGUAUCUGCACUUAAAGGUUGCGGCACCCAACUUAUCAAAACAAGUGCAAGAAAUGGUUGCAUGAUAUUCGAACACAAGCCGCCCAAGAUGGGUUAGAUGGGCAGACAUUGAUCCAAAAAAAUCAAACAUCAGACAGAUAAGUGUUUGAACAAAAGUUAAACAUGCAUGAAGGCACGGCAAAAGCAACCAAGUAUUUCAACUAAGCCUAUUACAUGGCUACAGGUGAGACCAGAAUAUUCAAAGUUUUUUGGCAGAGAAUAAACAACUCUUGCAAGACGGUCUUUGUGCCAUCCACCUUGAUGACCUCCAAUAGUUGAAGCUUCCGAGUUAUCCUACACCGACUCUUCUGUUUCUUGAAUCUGAAGGUUAUCCAAUUUCCAGUUGACAUCUGUUAGGCUUCAAAGACGGCUUCAUCAUGGAGGAUAAUAGACGGGUCAACAUCAGGUACAAAGUGAUGCUUACGCCGUUGAGGAGUUAAGUCAAAUGAUCUCAAUUUGGAGGUGGCACUCGUGUGUUGUUGCUAUCGUCAGCCAGUUGAUAUUUGUUCAACUCCAUCUCUGCGACAAGCUGACUUGCCAAUGGUCGGGUCUCUUUCUCACGAUGAGCAUAGUAAGAUGGUGUAAAAUCAGUUCCGUCAUCUUUUGUGGUGGGGAACCACGGCCACCUAUGGGGCCAUCAGCCCCUUGUGGUUCGACAGGGGGAUGAGCAUAUUGUACAAAGAGUGGAGAACAUAGCAUAGCACAACAGAGAUCACACGGGCAAUUUUGCCCAGGUUCAGGCCAUUGCGAGGCGUAAAACCCUACUCCUGCUUUGGUGGAUUGAUGGGAGGACCGUGGUAGAGACGCCGCGCUCUAGCCCGACAGGGUUACCAUGGGGCGAGAGCAGCUACACACGUAUGAGUACACAAGGGUCUAAAUCCUUUCUAUGGUUGCCACACGCCUCUUUUUAUAGGUCAAGGGGCCACCACAAUGGCAAAUCAGUCAUUGUGUACUAAUUAGAUAGCAAACAGUGCUAUCAUACCUAACUCUGCAGACAAGGAAGAGCGCAUUAAAUGCGCCGCUUAGUGUCACAUCAUAACAUGCCCGGCAAGCCUUGUGCCACGCCCAAGAUGCGACCCUAUCCUAAAGGAACUCGAAGGUCCCACCAAGGAUAGAAGCGCAUCUUGAAGACGCUUUUGCAAGGUGGAUAUCAUUACAUCAACAUUACAUAAUAGAUGGGGAUACAUACAUAAGGCAUACAAUGCCACACGAAUACAACAAUACAUCAUACAUAAGAGCAACAUCUGACUACGGAUGAAACACAAACAGAAGCUCAAAUGACAUCCACCCUGCUAGCCCAGGCUGCCGACCUGGAACCUAUCCCCUGAUCAAAGAAGAAGCAGAAGAAGAACUCCAAAGUAAGCAAACAUCGCUCUCGCGUAAUGAUCAUCGCAUAACCUGCACCUGCAACUGGUGUUGUAGUAAUCUGUGAGCCACGAGGACUCAGCAAUCCCAUUACCAUGGGUAUCAAGACUAGCAAAGCAUAAUGGGAAAGGAAGGGGUAAAGUGGUGAGGUUGCAGCAGCGACUAAGCAUAUAUGGUGGCUAACAUACGCAAAUAAGAGCGAGAAGAGAGCAAACGGAAUGGUCGUGAAGCUAGCAAUGAUCAAGAGGUGAUCCUGAACUCCUACUUACGGCAAACAUAACCCAAAACCGUGUUCACUUCCCGGACUUCGCCGAAAAGAGACCAUCAUGGCUACACACGCGGUUGAUGCAUUUUAAAUCAGAUCUGGUGUCAAGUUAUCUACAACCGGAUAUUGAUAAAUUCCCAUCUGCCACAUAACCGCGGGCACGGCUCUCCAAAGUUUAUAUCCUGCAGGGGUGUCCCAACUUACCCCAUGAUAAGCUCUCGCGAUCACCGAAGGAUAUUCCUUCUCCCAGGAAGACCCGAUCAGUCUCGGAAUCCCGGUUUACAAGACGUUUCAUGUCACAUCCCUAGUCCUGGUAUGCAGUAGGCUAGCCCUUCAUGUGUGCAUCAUGCUUAACUUUCAAAUGAAUUUGAAAUGGGGGCUGUUCAAACCCUAGCACCUAAUGAAUUCUACUAGGUUCAACUAAAAAAUAUUUUCAAUAAACCCAAAAUGCUCCUUAGAAAAGUUCAUGAUUUUUGUUAAAGGUGAAAACCUCUGCCAAAAAUGAUGCACAUAUUUCUAGGCCAUUCUGGAUUUUUGAAUUAAAUCUUAUUGUAUUUGACUUUGGGCAUUUAAAUUCUAUAAAUAAUUUAAAUGUUCAAAUAAUGUUGGAACUAUUUUUGGGCCACUGAAAUAAUUCAGCAAGUGUCCAUGAAUAUUUUCAGGAUUUUAGGAAAUGCCUUGGUAUUUUUCCUAAGCUCAAAACAAAGGCAAAUAAUUAGAAAACAAAAACAAAUUAGAAAACAGAAGAGAGGGAGAGCUUACCUGGCGCUCACCUGGCAGCCCAGCCAGCCCACCUGGCAGCCCACUGGUCGGCCCAGCACUGUGCUAGCCCGUGCCAGCCACCCGCUUCCUCUCGCCAGGCAGGCAGAGAGGAGCGCGCCGGCGCGCGCGCAGGCGCCACGCCACCAGGCUGUCUGCCUGCGUCGCCUGGCCACCGCGACGCCUCACGUCUUCUCCUCGGCGCCAGCCUGACCCCUCUGGCCUAUCCACUCCUCCUCUCCCCUCCUCUGCUCCCUCUCUCGAGCACACCCGAGCAGAGCUCGUCGUCGCCGACGCCAUUUACCGCGGCCACCGUCCAUCCCGUGCCUCCCCGAUGAGUCCAAAGGAACCGACAUCGCCUUCCGCAUCGUCUACACCAAUCCAUUCGACCGCGGGAGCCCUGUACCGUCUUCCCCGAGCUCAUCCCCAACCUCCGGCCGCCGGCAACCUCAUCGGCGAUUCGCCGCCGUCUCCGCCUCCCCGAGCCGCUGAGUCCUUCCUUGAGAUCGCUGUGAGCUUCGACACCUUUCCCCCUUCCCCCUGAGCUCGUUUCUGUCCUCUAGCUAUGCCAAACGCCGUACCCGAGUGCCGCCGUCCGCCAUGGAUGUUGCUCUCGCAGCCACCGUGCGACUCCGCUCGAGCUUGAGCCUCCGGCGUGCUCCUGGAGCAAUGGAGAGGCCAACUCAGCCGCUAGCUGUCCCCAUAGUGCAUCGCAGCCUCGUGCCCGCAUGUUCCCAAACUCCGGCCACCGUCACGAGCUCCAUUUCGGCGAACUCCGGGCACCCCAGCUCCAGCCUCUACCAUGAGUGGAUGCGAGCGAGUUCCAGCUCCGCAUAGAUGCCCUCAGCGCGCCCAGCCGCGGCCUGUAGUGCAGCCCCGACCAACUCCGGCGAGCUCUCGCCGCUGCUGUGGUCGUCGGCAUCACCUGCUGACAUGGCGGAUUAGCUUAGUGCUGAUUACGUGAUUAGACUAACCCUAGGUCAAUGACAAAUGGGCCCCACGCUCUAAUUAACCCGAGUUUGUUUCUGUUUAAAUAAAACUAACCCCCCACGGGCCCCACAGGUCAGUUUGACUUGGCCCCGUCACACUUUGACCGACCCCACACAUCAGUGUUGACCAUGCUGACGUGUGUGUUGACCGGGCCCACAUGUCAGGGUCACCAACCAGCCCCAUCACUGACCAGUGGACUCCACUGGUCAGGUUUGGCCUGGAGGCGCCCAGUUGACCUGCUGACAUCAGGGUGAUGUCAAGCUGACGCAAUAUGUAUUUUCUGGAUUUAUUUUAAUUCAGGAAAUUCCAGAAAAUGUUUUAAACUUCUAAAAAUCAUAUAAAAUCAACCGUAACUCAGAAUGAAAUAAAUUAUAUAUGAAAAAUGAUCAGAAAAAUCCAAUCUAUCCAUUUGUACCAUUUUCAUGCAUGUUAGAACAACUUAUAGCUGCUGUUUAGCACAAAUCAUAUAAAGGGCUUUUAAAACAUCACAUAAGGAGUUUGAAUUUGAAUCUUGGAUUCAAACCAACUUCAUUUAACCCAUUGCUAGUUGCAUUAGCUCAAACCACAUCAUAUUGCCAUGUCACAUUCAUGCAUCAUAUUGUCGCAUUGCAUUUAUUGUGUUCUCCCUUGUUUGCCGGUAUUUGUCCCCUCUUAGUAGACGACGUUCCGACGAUGAGUUCGAUGACACCGAUGAAGAACUAUUACUAUCUUCAGAAGUGCCAGGCAAGCAAAACCCCCUUGUUCAUUCUGAUACAAACCCACUCUCUCGCUCUGCUCUCUUUUACUGCAUUAGGACAACAAUGAUUCAUCUGUUACUUGCUGCGGUAGCUGAACCCCUUUAUCCUCUGCAUGACCUGUCAUUGCCACAGUAAAUAGAUGAAACCCACUAGCAUGAGUAGGAGUUGUUUGAGACCUGAUGUGCCUACUCAUUCAUGCUUGUUUGUCAUGCCUGCUACUGCUUAGAGUUGAGUCAGGUCAUAUUCAUCGAGGAUGAAUUGGAAUGUGGUGAACAUGUCCUACUGUUGAGAGCUAAGUGUGUGAACACGAUUUGGUAAAGAGUAGCGGUGAGAGGCCAUGUAGGAGUACAUGGUGGGUUGUCUCAUUGCAGCCGUCCUCAGGAACUGAGUUCUGUGUUUGUGAUCCAUGAACAGCUACUACCACACAUUGGGAUCCUUAAUUGACUCUCUCGACUUAUUAAUCAACUCGAUCUCUGUCCAGGAGUUGCAACUAGUUUCUGGUGUUUGUAGGUAGUGUUAGUAGUCUACCAAGUGGCACCCGGUACAGGUGGGCUUGGGACAGACUAGGCACAGUGGCACGGUGUACCAAGUGGCACCCGGAUGGUGGGCUUGGGAACCCUGCUCACAUUGUUUGGGGCCGUGAGCGACACCCCGGCCGGAUCUCCUUGCGGAUGGAACCCGAAUAGGCGAUAAACCUGGACGAGAGACUUGUGUGGUUAGUCAGGUCGUGGCCGACUCCCUCGCCAGGCUUCCGCUUGAAGGUUGCCGAGAUACACGAGGUGUACUUGGUGGUAAGUGGCGAGAGCGUGUGUGAAGAAGUACACCCCUGCAGGGUUAAUAUGAUCUAUUCGAAUAGCCGUGUCCACGGUAAAGGACUUCUGGGUUGCCUGUACAGUUCAUAGAUAACUUGAAGUGGAUACUCUAAAAUACGCAAGAUAAGCGUGAGUGCUAUGGAUGGUGUUCUCAUAGGGAGACGUGAGCGGAUCCAUAGUGGUGUAUUGAUAUGGUGAAUAUGUGGACUCGUGUGCGCCACCUCAAAAGAGUUACUUGUAGUCAUAGUUCAGGAUAGCCACCGAGUCAAAGCUGGCUUGCUGUAGUUAAACCCCACCAUCCCCUUUGUUGAUAAUGAUGCAUAUGUAGUUAGUUCUGAUGUAAGUCUUGCUGGGUACAUUUGUACUCACGUUGCUUAAUUUAUGUUUUUGCAGAGAGACUUCAGUCUCGCUAGUAGUACCGCGUGGACUUCGAUGUUUAGCUUGUUACCUCAGCUACGAUCUUGUGCCCUCGGUAGGAUCUGGUAGAUAGUCAGGCUUCUUAGCCUUUUUCAUUUGUAGAUGUCUGUAUUCAGACAUGUUAAGAUUCCGCUUGAGCUUGACUUGUGUGCUCUGAAUGCUGGGUCAUGAGACCCAUGUUUGUAAUAUCUCGCUCCUCGGAGCCUAUUGAAUAAAUACUUGAGUUGUAGAGUCAUGUUGUGAUGCCAUGUUGUAUUUGCACAUAUCGAGCAUAUUGUGUGUAUGUUAUUGAAAUGCUUGGUAUGUGUGGGAUCUGACUAUCUAGUUGUUUAUCCUUAGUAGCCUCUCUUACCGGGAAAUGUCUCCUAGUGUUUCCACUGAGCCAUGGUAGCUUGCUACUGCUCCGGAACACUUAGGCUGGCCGGCAUGUGUCCUUCUUCAUUCCUGUGUCUGUCCCUUCGGGGAAAUGUCACGCGAUGAAUACCGGAGUCCUAUUAGCCCGCUAUAGCCCGGUUCACCGGAGUCCUGCUAGCCCAGUGCUACAGCCUUUAUUCACUCGCUGAUGACCGACACGUUCGAUGUUGAGUCAUGGAUGCCUGUCCCUGUAAGUUUGUGCCACUUUGGGUUCAUGACUAGCCUUGUCAGCCCGGGCUCCUUAUCAUAUGGAUGCUAGCGACACUAUCAUAUACGUGUGCCAAAAGACGCAAACGGUCCCAGGCAAAGGUAAGGCGACACUUGUGGGGCCACCGUGCGUGAGGCCGCAAAGUGAUAUGAGGUGUUACAUGCUAGAUCGAUGUGGCAUUGAGUCAGGGUCCUGACAUUUCAACAAUGGUAAAACAAGACCAGCAAGACCGCCCAGAUGUGCCAACAAAUCCCGAUAGGAGCUGCACAAAUCUCGUUCUCAGGGCACACCAGAUAAGCUAAGCGCACAGGUACCGACAUAACCCAAGUUGCCAAGGGAUGGUCCCGCACAGUGCUCUAGUUUGGACCAACACUCUGAGGAGCACUGGCCCGGGGGGUAAAAUAAAGAUGACCCUCGGUCUCCGGAAACCCAAGGGAAAAAGGGCUAGGUGUGGAAAAUGGUAAAACCAAGGUUGGGCCUUGCUGGAGGAGUUUUAUUCAAAGCAAACUGUCAAGGGGGUCCCAUAAAUCACCCAACCGCGUAAGGAACGCAAAAUCCGGGAACAUAACACCGGUAUGACGGAAACUAGGGCGGCAAGAGUGGAACAAAACACCAGGCAUAAGUCCGAGCCUUCCACCCUUUACCAAGUAUAUAGAUGCAUUAAUAAUAUAAGAGAUAUUGUGAUAUCCCAACAAAAUCCUGUCCACCAUGGGGCAAUCUUCAACUUCACCUGCAACUAACAACACUAUAAGAGGGGCUGAGCAAAGCGAUAACAUAGCCAAACAACGGUUUGCUAGGAAAGGUGAAAAGGUUAGAAGCUGACAUGGUAGUUUGGGAGGCUUGAAGAGCAAAUGAUAGGUAGCACAACAAAGCGAUAGAACGAAGCAACUAGCAUAGCAAUGAUAGUAGUGAGAUCUAGGGUAGCGGUCAUCUUGCCUGAAAUCCCGCUAGGAAGAAGAACGAGUCCAUGAAGAAGAUGAAGCCAUGAAGAUGAACCAAAUGUAGACGAACGAAUCCUCACAAUCGCAACGAAAUGGGAACUAUCGAGAAGAAUCACACAAUAUGGUAAACACACCACACAUAUACAUGACAUGAUUCACACUCCAGUAUGAUGCAUGACAAAGGCUACAUGAAGCUACUCAUGUGAUGUAGGGCGGAACCCUAGGUGGACGAUCUUUCACGUUUGGAGGGAUCCUACGGGGAAUCACAAAGAACACGCGGAAGAAAUCGAGGGAAGAGACACGGGGAGAACAAGAGAAAACGCUAAACCGACAUAGCAUCAAUCACACGAGUGCUAGAUCACUGACAACAUAGAGUAACAUAUGAUCCACAAUCAACAAAGGUAAGGAUACAAAGGAACCGUUCUUCUCCGUACGGAGGCCUUGAUGGUCUUCCCUAGAACGGGGUCUUGAUUCCGCUUGGGGGAUCUUCUCCGAAGAGGUCCGGAUCUCCGAGGAGAAGUAGCCAAGUGGAUGAGCAAGGCUCUCACACAAAAUAUGAGCUAAACCAAUGCUAACCCUAAUACGAAGCUAGGAGACGAGUAUAUAUAGUGCUAAGCCACGAAGGGUAAGUGGGAGAGGAUACAUGGGGUGAAAACCCCUCGCACUGCGCGCAGGCAGGCCGGUAGUACCGGUCAUGGGGCCGGUAGUACCGCAGAGAGCUCAUGAGGGGCGGUAGUUCCGGCCGUGGAAGGCGGUACUACCGCUGGGAGGUCGGGCGCUGGCUUCUGGAGGUGGACGUCGAAGGAUCCAGCGGUUGUACCGGAUGUCGGGGCGGUUGUUCUGGUCUUUGGGCAGAAACCGGUAGAACCGGUGCUGUACCGGCCUUGCACCGCUUGAUCACAGAAUGGCGGCCGGUUGUUGGGCGGUGGCUGGCCGGUUGUUCCGCUCAGGCGGUGGUUGGGCGGUUGUACCGGUCCAUCCAGGCUGGGUGGAAUGCCUCCUUGAUCUUGAUGUCCAUCUUGCACCACUCCUUCUCCUUGGUUGCUUACAUGGUACCUGAGCACAUAAAGUGUCUCUGUUUGAGGUAAUAGCCAUGUCUCAAAUGGGUCAAAGGGAAGUUCAACAAGGAGAGAGUUAACCUCGGAUUGGAUGGCAGGUGCUCGGGCUCUUGUAAUGGGUCCUCUUGGAGCAAGUGUGGUCGAAGUAGAGUCCAUGGGGAUGAUGGAAGGAUGCUCCACAUCAUCUCCCCUCCCUUGGGAAAGAUCCGACCUCGGAUCAAAAUCUUCAUCACCAUGGAAAGGCGAGAGGUCUUUGAUGUUGAAGAUGUCGCUCACGGUAUACUUGUCUCGUGGGAGUUCAAUCUUGUAGGCGUUGUCGUCAUAGUGUGCUAGUACCUUGAAGGGUCCGUCGGCUUGAGGUAGAAGCUUGGACUUGCGUUCGUUGGGGAAGCGGUCCUUGCGAAGAUGUAGCCACACUAGAUCACCAAUGUCGAAUACCAUGGGUUGCUUGUUGAUGUUGAGCUUGGUCGGUAGUCGUUGUACUUGGCGCUCGAUGGUGUGCCUUGUAUCUUCAUGCAUCUUCUUGAUGUAGCUUGCACGAGCACUUGCGUCGAGGUUGGUUCGCUCUUGUAGAGGAAGAGGUAGAAUGUCCAAUGGGGAAAAAGGGUUGAAGCCGUAGACGACCUCGAAAGGGGACUUGCCGGUCGUGGAAUGUCUUGCCCGGUUGUAGGCAUACUCGGCGAUGGGUAGACACGCCUCCCACUCCUUGAUGUUCUUCUUGAUCAACACGCGAAGUAGAGUGGAGAGUGUGCGGUUUGUCACCUCCGUUUGGCCGUCGGUUUGAGGAUGGUAUGCCGAAGAGAACAAUAGCUUGAUUCCGAGCUUGGCGCAUAGGGUCUUCCAAAAGUAACUCAAGAACUUGACGUCACGAUCCGAGACAAUCGUCUUUGGCAAUCCAUGAAGUCGCAAGAUUUCCCUACAAAAGAGAUUGGCAAUAUGUGAAGCAUCGUCUAUCUUGUUGCAAGGAAUGAAAUGUGCCAUCUUAGAAAAUCUGACCACAACAACAAAGACAGAAUCCUUGCCAUUUUGAGUUCUAGGCAAACCAAGUACAAAAUCCAUGCUAAUGUCUUCCCAAGGUUGGUAAGGAAUGGGAAGGGGCAUGUAAAGACCAUGGGAUUGAGCUUUAGACUUAACUUUGCGACAUGUAGACCAACGGUUGGUGAAGCGUGAGACAUCACGGAACAUCUUGGGCCAAAAGUAGUUCUUGGAGAGCGUGGCGAAAGUCUUGUCGCGUCCAAAGUGUCCCAUAAGUCCACCUCCAUGAGCCUCUUGCAAAAGUAGCAAACGAAGAGAAGACUCGGGAAUGCAAAGUUUGUUAGCUCUCAUAAGAUAAUCAUCCUUUAUGUAAUAUCGUUCCCAAGAUGUGUGUGUCAAACACUUAGCAUAAGGAAUAGCAAAAGAAUGAUCAUGCUCAUACAAGUCUUUUAUAUGCUCAAAACCAAUAACAUUCAACUCAAGUUGAGUGACAAGCAUGCAUAUGCGUGAAAGUGCAUCCGCAACAACAUUUUCUUUACCCUUAAUGUACUUGAUCACAUAAGGAAAAUAUUCAAUGAAUUCACUCCAUUUGGCAUGACGCUUGUUCAAUUUAGUUUGACCUUUUAAGUACUUAAGCGUUUCAUGAUCAGUAUGGAUGACAAACUCAUGAGGUCUAAGAUAAUGUUCCCAAACAUGUAGCACACACACUAAAGCAUACAAUUCUUUAUCAUAGAUGGGAUAAUUAAGUUGAGCACCGAAGAGUUUUUCACUAAAAUAAGCAAUGGCUCGUUUUUCUUGCAUCAAAACUCUGCCAAUUCUGGUACCACUUGCAUCACAAUGAACCUCAAAAGUUUUGUCAAAAUUGGGCAAAGCAAGAAUCGGAGCAUGAGUAAGCAAAGACUUGAGCUCAUCAAAAGUGGUGGAUUGCAAAGAUCCCCAAACAGAAGGAGCAUUCUUCUUACUCAAAGCAUGUAAAGGAGUGGCAAUUGUGCUAAAUUUUUUCACAAAGCGGCGGUAAAAUCCUGCAAGACCAAGAAAACUUCUCACUUGUUGCAAAUUGGUUGGUUGGGGCCAAGUUUUAAUCGCUUGAAUCUUAGUUUCAUCAACAUGGAGACCCUUGGAAGAGACAACAAAACCCAAGAAAACCACUUUGUCAAUGCCAAAAGUGCAUUUUUUCAAAUUCGCAUAAAGGUUUUCCUUUCGGAGGGUUUGCAACACAGAUUUAACAUGAUUAAUGUGCUCUUCCAUGGUUUUGCUAAACACAAGGAUAUCAUCAAAGUAAACCAAAAUGAAGACUCCUAUGUAAGGUCUAAGCACAUGAUGCAUAAGACGCACGAAAGUUCCGGGUGCUUCGGACAAACCCAUAGGCAUCACUAACCACUCAUAUAAGUCAAAUUUUGUUUUGAAGGUGGUUUUCCAUUCGUCACCUUCUUGAAUGCGGAUUUGAUAAUAGCCACUCUUAUGGUCAAUUUUGGAGAAAAAGUUGGCUCCGCUAAGUUCAUCGAGAAUAUCAUCUAAUGGAGGAAUGGGGUGCCUAUAACGAACGGUAAUGGCGUUUAUGGGUCUACAAUCGGAACACAAGCGAAAACUGCCAUCGGGUUUAGGCACAAGUAUAACGGGAACGGCACAUGGGCUUAAGCUUUCAGGUACAUGACCGUUGUCGAUGAGUUGUUGUACUUGUUGUUGAAUCUCCUUGGUUUCUUCGGGAUUGACACGGUAUGGGGCUUUGUUUGGAAGUGGCACUCUGGGGAUGAGGUCAAUUCGAUGCUCAAUGCCUCGUAGUGGAGGUAGACCCGGAGGUAGCUCAUCGGGGAAGACAUCUUUGAAUUCCUGCAAAAGAGACUGAAACACUAAAGGUAACUCGUGAGAGGUGUUAGUUGUUGGCUCUCCAUCUUUGCACACAAGGACGAAGUGCAUCACACUCGAUGGGUUCUCACACACUUCUCUUAUCUCACUUUUGGUGGCAAAUAGGAUGAGGUUUUUCUCUCUAGGCGAAGAGGCACUCAUAUUUGGCUUGUGGCUCUCACUCACUUUUGGGUGGGUCACUUUCUCACUCUUCUCUCCAUGGUGGGUGGCUUUCUUGUCGGCUAUCACUUGACUAGGAGACAUAGGUCGUAGCACAUACUCCUUCCCUUUCAUCUUGAAGCUAUAGUGAUUGGUUCGCCCAUUGUGGAUGACACCACGGUCGAAUUGCCAUGGUCGACCAAGAAGGAGGUGGCAAACGGUCAUUGGGACCACAUUACACUCCAAAGUGUCCUCAUAUGCACUGAUUUUGAAGGAGACUUGGACCGUAUGCUCGACUCGUAUAGUGCCGGAGUCACUUAGCCAUUGAACCUUGUAGGGGUGCGGGUGCUUCUUCUUGACCAAUUGAAGUUUUGAACAUAGUUCUUCACUUGCCAAGUUGUGACAACUACCUCCAUCGAUGAUGACCUUGACGAACCUUCCAUUGAUGCCGGCCUUAGUGUGGAAGAUGUGGCAUCGUUGGUCUUCUUCUUGUUGAUGUUGAAGUGUCAAGACUUUGGAGACAACGAGAGCGGGGCUCGGAUCCUCAUCACAAAAGACUUGAUCAUCUUCAUCCUUGUUCACGCGCCAGUGAAUGGCCACUUGCUCAAGGGCUUCCAUCUCCUCUUCACUCAUUGAGUCAUAUGUGCCGUCGUCGUUGAGGAUCAUGGUGCGCUUGUUCGUGCAUUGGUAGGACUUGUGGCCUCGACCGCCGCAAGUGAAACACUUGAAGGAGCUUGUUUUGACGGUCUCAUCGGUUGGAGUAGAUGAUGAGGCACGCGGCUUGAAGUUGCUUGUUGUAGUAGGAAGACGACUUGAACUUGACGAAGUUUUCUUGUAACUUGACUUGUCGUCAUUGCUUGGAGAAGGCUUGGUUGACGUAGAUGUUGGAGGAGUUGUUGAAGCUUGAUUGUUGGAGAAGCCGUAUGUCUUGGAUGAGUACUUGGCGUACUUGAAGUCAUCUUGCACUUGAUGUUCCGCCUUUGUAGCUUGAUGCACGAGCUCAAUGAGGUUGGAGUAGGGUUGGAAGUCGGCGAUCUUCUUGAUGGGAUGAUUGAGUCCAUUCAAGAAUCGUGCCAUUGUUUGCUCAUCAUCCUCCAUGACAUUGGCUCGAAUCAUGGCAAUCUCCAUUUCCUUGUAGUAUUCUUCAACACUCUUUGUUCCUUGCUUGAGGAGUUGUAGCUUCUUGAAGAGAUCACGGUUGUAGUAGGUUGGCACAAAACAUGCUCGCAUGACAUCCUUCAUUUGAGCCCAAGUGGUGAUUGGAGGUUCACCUCUUGCUUGCCGAGGCUCAAGGACUUGUUCCCACCAUAUGAGCACAUAGUCUUGGAACUCAAGUGAUGCCAUAGCGAUCUUCUUCUCUUCCUCAUAGUUGUGCAAACGAAAGAUUUUGUCGACCUUCAAUGCCCAUGAGAGGUAUUCUUCAGGAUCAUUGCUUCCAUUGAACCUGGGCAUUGUGAAUUUGAGCUUGCCAUAGCGUUGCUCUUCAUUGUGUUGUUGGCGAUGGUGAUCAUGAUGCCCUUGACGUGGAGGGUAGUCAUCCUCAUGUUGCUCUUGGCGUGGAGGAAGUCCAUGGUCAACUUGUUCUCGUUGAGCUUGAAGUUGAGGUGCUUGUGGAGCUUAACGUUGCACACGCGGUUGGUAGUUCCUCUCUUGGAUUUCUUCUCGAAGAGCUUCCUCUUGAUUGCGCCUUUCGCGAUUGCGGUUGGUGAUGGCUCGACUUGAUUCUUGAAGGGCAUGUUGCGCCUCAAGAGCUUGCGCUUCUCGUUGUUGUUGUUGAAGACGUUGUGCCUCAGCGUCUUGUUCCUCUGUGGUGUAGACGCGCUCGUUCUUCCUCUUGGCGCCGUAGUCGUUGCCAUUCUUGAGCUUGAGCAAAAACGACUUGGUUUGAUUGAGGACAAGGGAUUUUCUCAUCGACUUGUUCUUGUGAAUGCUUGUCAUGUAGCGGGUUCCGAGAUGCAUGCUGGUCUUGACGCGUGGCUCGUCGAAGAAUGGUCGAUGACGGUGUACUUGUGCCGGAGAAGGUGUCGUCGGAGUGUCGACUUGAGCGGCUCCGUCUUGGGGAUGAAGAAGUGGAAUGAUGCCGGUUCCUCAUCAGGGCGCGGAUCUCAUCCAUUCUUGCAUCAUUUUCUUGCUUGUGAGAGUCGAACUUGUUGUCGAAGUAGUCUCUUGUACGUUGCUCGGAGAGUUGCAAGUCGGUGGCGAGGUUGUCGAUGCGGUCGUUCAUAGCUUGUUGCUCUUGGUGUAACGCCCUUUGAGCACAAAAGAGGUGGCUCUUUGUGACGAAUGAUGACAUGUCGUCGCCGUUCUCGAUGAGAGGUGGAGUGGUAGAAGAACUUGGCCUAUCCAUCAUACCAAGCAAAAUGUAAGUGGUAGAAGGAAAAGAACGUGUACCAAAUGUACCUUGACCGAUGUUGAAGAUGAAUCAAGUUCACUCAAAUGCGGACAAUGAAAUAGCACUUUUGGUACCAAUUCUUGUCGGUUCUCACACCUACACAAGUAAAAGCUUAUGGUGGAGCUUGGUUAGGAUGGUGGCACAAAAUUGAUUGCAAUCGUUAGUUUGACUCAAAGAUGUUGAAAAAGAUUCGCAAAUUCGCAAAUGUAACAAGUAGACCAAGCAAGUAGAGGUACACGGAAACACACACACAAAUAGAUAAGUGGGAUUGUGCAAACCAAAAGUGAGCCAAAAUGUGGAAACCACAAAAUGCUCUUGUUGCACAAUACUAGAGAGACGCUAGCACGAUUGCACAAUAGGCGGAUACGCAAACUUGUGCACAACCUACUAGGCAAAAAUGCAACGAUGUCUAUCCCAAGUAUGCUAUAUGUAUGAUAUUUCGGUGCUAUGAUCCAAGAUGAUCAGAUAUGACAAUCUUAAUGUCGUAUGAUGCUAUGGUUCUCGCUUAUAAGCUCUUUGCUUAUCUUUCCUCUUUACUUAAAAGCUUGGGUGGCUCUUCACUUUUGAUCUCUUUUCUUAUGCAAACUUCACUAACCAAGGUAGCAAUUGUGUAUGCGAUGACAACUUUGUGACACACAAGUUGAUCUCAAGAUAUGCACCACUAUUGUAUGGUAUGUAUAAUAUGGAUUAUGAUCACUAAUGUGCACAAGUCACGUUGCCUGCAAUACUCAAUGGCUAGUCUCAAUGGGUAACCAACGCAAAAGUAAGGCUAUGUGGUUAUCAAUGCAAUUGCGAGAGAGGACAAAGAUGUCGUCGAGGUUACCGUCCUUGACGAUGAUGAGUCCUUGGCGAAGAUGAGCGGUGGUGAUGUUGACGUCGAACCGUACCUAUAUAGCCGAAAUACAAUAGGACACGGGAACCACAACUCAAAUUCUCAAAGACAAAAAGCAACAAUGCUGAAAGCGGAAAGUGUAGGUGGAUGGGGGAUGUCAAUAGCUUCUCAAUGAGCUAAAGAACGCGAAAAUCGGACUCCGAAUGUGGAAGUUACGCUGAAAAUGGUGAAACUCAGAAUGCUGAAAUUGGCCUGGGCGGUAGUACCGCUCGGACGGGCGAUUGUACCGCUUGCGGAACUCAGCGGUGGNNNNNNNNNNNNNNNNNNNNNNNNNNNNNNNNNNNNNNNNNNNNNNNNNNNNNNNNNNNNNNNNNNNNNNNNNNNNNNNNNNNNNNNNNNNNNNNNNNNNNNNNNNNNNNNNNNNNNNNNNNNNNNNNNNNNNNNNNNNNNNNNNNNNNNNNNNNNNNNNNNNNNNNNNNNNNNNNNNNNNNNNNNNNNNNNNNNNNNNNNNNNNNNNNNNNNNNNNNNNNNNNNAUUCGACACAGAACGAAACGGGGCGCGAUUUUGUGGCGGAAAUGGAUGAUUUUGGGGCAAAAUUGGGUGGAUUUCGUGGAUGGAAAGAGGGGAAACUCGGGGGAAUGCUAAAUCCACUUGAAACCAAGAAAAUCCACGGAUCAAAAUCAACAAAACAUCAUCAAACCAACAAAUCACAAAAAAAAAUUUGGGGGCUAUUUUUGGUUUGGAUUUUCGGAUUUAGGACGAAAACAACAAAAUCAAGCUAGAAAACACGGGGUAGGGGCUCCAAAAAUGUGAUCAACGUGGCUCAUGAUACCAAGAUGAUGUAGGGCGGAACCAUAGGUGGACGAUCUUGAUCGUUUGGAGGGAUCCUACGGGGAAUCACGAAGAACACGCGGAAGAACUCAAGGGAAGAGACACGGGGAGAACAAGAGAAAACGGUAAACCGACAUAGCAUCAAUCACAUGAGUGCUAGAUCACCGACAACAUAGAGUAACAUAUGAUCCACAAUCAACAAAGGUAAGGAUACAAAGGAACCAUUCUUCUCCGUACGGUGGCCUUGAUGGUCUUCCCUAGAAAGGGGUCUUGGAUCCGCUUGGGGGAUCUUCUCCGAAGAGGUCCUGAGCUCCGAGGAGAAGUAGCCAAGUGGAUGAGCAAGGCUCUCACACAAAAUAUGAGCUAAACCAAUGCUAACCCUAAUACGAAGCUUGGAGACGAGUAUAUAUAGUGCUAAGCCACGAAGGGGUAAGUGGGAGAGGAUACAUGGGGUGAAAACCCCUCGCACUGCGCGCAGGCAGGCCGGUAGUACCGGUCAUGGGGCCGGUAGUACCACAGAGAGCUCAUGAGGGGCGGUAGUUCCGGCCGUGGAAUGCGGUACUACCGCUAAGAGGUCGGGCACUGGCUUCUGGAGGUGGACGUCGAAGGAUCCAGCGGUUAUACCGGAUGUCAGGGCGGUUGUUCUGGUCUUUGGGCAGAAACCGGUAGAACCGGUGCUGUACCGGCCAUGCACCGCUUGAUCACAGAAUGGCGGCCGGUUGUUGGGCGGUGGCUGGCCGGUUGUUCCUCUCAGGCGGUGGUUGGGAGGUUGUUCUGGUCCUUCCAGGCUGGGUGGAAUGCCUCCUUGAUCUUGAAUUCCAUCUUGCACCACUCCUUCUCCUUGGCUGCUUACAAGGUACCUGAGCACACAAAGUGUCUCUGUUUCAGGUAGUAUCCAUGUCUCAAAUGGGUCAAAGGGAAGUUCAACAAGGAGAGAGUUAACCUCGGAUUGGAUGGCACGUGCUUGGGCUCUUGUCAUGGGUCCUCUUGGAGCAAGUGUGGUCGAAGUAGAGUCCAUGGGGAUGAUGGAAGGAUGCUCCGCAUUAUCAUGGCAAGAGAUGAUGCAAACAAGAGCAACACAUCAAAGCAAGUUUAAAUGAGGCCGAAAACAACAUAUAACAAAUCCGGUAAGUCCCCAUAUGCAAAUUUAGAAAUUGGUUCAGAACUGAAUAAACCUUAUGUUCAAGUUGUUAAACAGCAAGUUAAGAUGCACCAAGAUGAUCUACACGAGAUUCUAGUCAAGUUACAUAUAAAGUUUUUUUAAUUCGGAGCUACGACCUAGAAGAUAUGAGCAAAACAAGUUAAACAUGGCAUUGAUGCAAAAUGCAUACAAACAUCAAGAAAACACCUCAAACCAAGGAUGCAACAUGAUAAUAUGAAAUUACGUGCAAAAUAAAGCAAGUUUCAUAUAGAGCACACUCAAAACGGAGCAACGGUUCAACACAUACUCUAUGCAAGCUAUAACAACAAUCUGUCCAAAACAGCAACUAGGCAUCUAGCAAGCAUCAAAACAAUAUUCUACAGCACCUCAACAUAAGAAAAAAAAGGCACGAGAAUGAAGUACAGGUAAAGCACAACAAAAUAUGAACAUUGAGCUAUCUACAGAAAACAAUAGAACAUGCUCAAAAGGACAUGGCAAGAUUGCAAAUAAUAACAGUUUCAGACUUGGCAGAAAUAACAUCAGGUUGCAAUGUUUAGAGCUAUCAAACAACAUGUUACAGGAACAUAUCAUGGCAAGAAAAGGCAUGGCAUGAACCUACUGAUUUCAGAGAACAGAAGUUCUUUACUGACCAUGAGCCAAAAAGGAACAGAAGAUAUGAUGGCACCCAUGUAAACAUGGCAAGUUAUAUGACAUAUUCAGACAUGGCAGGAACAACAAUAAGUAGACAUGUUGGUGAGCUUGAACCACUCACCACAGAAAAAUACAUGGCACAACAAGGUUACAAACAGUACGAAUACAUGUUUAUGAAGCUAAGAAUGGCAAGAUCAAUUUCAUAGGGUGCAUGGAUCACUAGCAAAACACAUGUCCCAAACUGAACUUAAUGUUAACAGGCUGACAGCAACAUUAUUCAGCAACUUUGGAGCAAGAUUACAACAAUUAACAACAGUCUAUAAAUGCAACCAGGGCCAUGGAUGCAUAGAGCAUGACAUGUAUAACAAAUAAUCCUUAGUGAACAUCUCCAUAUUAUGCAUAGAAUGACUUCUAGCAGCAGGUUUACAGAGCAUCAUGUUGUAACAGAUUCAGCCUAGCAAAACAGCAACAACAAGUACCCUACUUAACAAUCUUGUUGCACUCACUAAAAGACUCACAAAAAUACAUGGAUCGCACCUCUGUAAAGAUGGCAUGAUGUACCAUAAAACACAUGUAUACAUUAACCUCAUAGGAUGCACACACAAAAUGCAACGAAAAAGACAAAUCAUCAAGUUAUAACAGUUUCAGCAGAUUAACAUCAUAUAGCACUAUUGCAAUGAUGAUUAGGGCAUCAAGAUGGACUCAAACAAAGAUGGAUCAAUGGAAUGAAAUGAAGAACAUCUCAUGAUGAACAUUUUGAUAGAUCACACGCACGGAACGGGGCAGUAUGCAUAGAGUUAUGAUGCGAUGAACAGGGCAUGGAAAUGUCACAGAUCUGGCGCGAAUUCCGAGGUUGACCGGGCUCUCGCCGGAGUUGCUGUAGAAGGCAGCCGGAGAUGAGGGAGAGGGCACCGGAGAGGGUCGGGGAGGACGGGCCCCACCGGAUCUGGCCGGAUCCGGCGCGUGGCGGUGGCGGACGGCGGCUGGGGCGGCGACCGGCGNNNNNNNNNNNNNNNNNNNNNNNNNNNNNNNNNNNNNNNNNNNNNNNNNNNNNNNNNNNNNNNNNNNNNNNNNNNNNNNNNNNNNNNNNNNNNNNNNNNNNNNNNNNNNNNNNNNNNNNNNNNNNNNNNNNNNNNNNNNNNNNNNNNNNNNNNNNNNNNNNNNNNNNNNNNNNNNNNNNNNNNNNNNNNNNNNNNNNNNNNNNNNNNNNNNNNNNNNNNNNNNNNNNNNNNNNNNNNNNNNNNNNNNNNNNNNNNNNNNNNNNNNNNNNNNNNNNNNNNNNNNNNNNNNNNNNNNNNNNNNNNNNNNNNNNNNNNNNNNNNNNNNNNNNNNNNNNNNNNNNNNNNNNNNNNNNNNNNNNNNNNNNNNNNNNNNNNNNNNNNNNNNNNNNNNNNNNNNNNNNNNNNNNNNNNNNNNNNNNNNNNNNNNNNNNNNNNNNNNNNNNNNNNNNNNNNNNNNNNNNNNNNNNNNNNNNNNNNNNNNNNNNNNNNNNNNNNNNNNNNNNNNNNNNNNNNNNNNNNNNNNNNNNNNNNNNNNNNNNNNNNNNNNNNNNNNNNNNNNNNNNNNNNNNNNNNNNNNNNNNNNNNNNNNNNNNNNNNNNNNNNNNNNNNNNNNNNNNNNNNNNACGCGCUGGGAUUCGCCUGGCGCAGCGGCACGGACACGUCCGACUCGGGACGGACAUGUCUGGCGGCGGAAGGUGGAAGAAGACUAGGGUUAGGGGGAUUCAUCCGGAGGUGGCCUAUUUAUAGAUUCUGGGAGCUAGGAGAGUCCAAAUGAGGUAUGGUUUUCGCCCACACGAUCGUGAUCGAACGACCGAGAGCAUGGAGGGGGUUAGAAUGGGUUUUGAGCCACUUCGGAGGGGUGUUGGACUGCAACACAAAGAGGGCUUUUAUGGUUACCCGGUUAACCGUUGGAGUACCAAACGGACUCCAAAUGGCACGAAACUUGACAGGCGGUCUACCGGCGAUGUACCAAGGCCGCUUGAAAAAUCACAGUCCAUUCCGAGAAUAUUAAACACCCGGUCACAAAAAGAGACAAAAAGGGGACGCCAGAGGACAUAGGAGUGUCGGAUUGCAAAACGGACAAUGGGGAAAAUGCUCGGAUGCAUGAGACGAACACGUAUGCCAAUGCGAUGCACAUGAUGACAUGAUAUGAAAUGCAGAUGAUGACAUGGAAAGGAUGGCGAAUAACUGGCGGACACCUGGCGCAUUGAAUCCGGGGCGUUACAACACUCCUCCACUAACCAGAGAUCUCGUCCCGAGAUCUUAGGACCGAGACGGAAGGGAAAAGGGAUGAGGAGAAACAAGAACUCAAGAGAAGAAGCAAAGAAUCGAGAGCACUCGAGAAGAAGAGAGGAACGACGAGAAUGAUGAGAAUCGAAAGCUCACGGAAUCAGAUAGAGUAUGAAACCACUCCGGUUAGAACGAGAUAAGAAACGAAUAAGACUGAAAGGGUUUAGGCAGCACUCCUGCUGAACAUGGAAAAAAUAGAACACGAACUUCACAAGAUCGAAUGACACUUGACAAGAUGACCAAUGCAAUGCCUCCAGAAGAAUUGAAAGAAUGGAAUGAAAAGAACUUAGAAGGAAGGAUUGAAUGAGGUUGUUAAGAAAAUCAACAACGAAAGAAUAAACUUAUUGUGGUCUUAUAGGUAACAUCUCCAGAUCAUAAGGUGAUAACCGGCCACAAACGGAAAUUAUUGGAUAGCUGAGAAGAACGAAGAAAUGCAAAACUCCAUUUCAAAAGUAUACGGAGAAUUAAUUGCACUUUGAGACGCGAGAAGAAAAGAUACUUGAGCUCCACCAACAAAAUCUUGAAUCACUCUUGAAGAAUGAAUUAAAUCAUGAAGAACCACCAUGAAGAACUCUGGUAAUAAAAGGAUGAUGACAUCGAAUUUAAGCUUGAAAGAAUAAGAUUAAAGCCUUGCGGUGAUUUAGAUGGAGGUAUCGACAAAAAGGCCGAGGACAAUUUGAACUCCGGAAAAGAAAAGAUGAAAACACUUGGAACUAGAAUUUAUUCAUCAAGAACAAACUCCAAAGGAAGGGAUUACUCACUUGGAUGAAAUAAGAAUAAGAUUUAUUGUAUGCUUACCCUUCAUCAAAUUAAAUUGAUGACAAGCAAUGGGUUUAGCAUACUACUUAUUCUUGUUGAAAAAGGAUUAAGGGGAAAUAUGGCGCAAAACUUGAGAAAGUCUUCAUGAACCACCAGUAGGAUUCGAAAGAACGAAUGGAUUAAAAUGAUAAUCAAGGAAAAAGAAUCUUGAACGAACCACCGUAAAAAUUCGAAAAUGAUUGAUGAAAGAGAAUGAAUCACCAGGAAGAAUUAGCAGAACAAAUAAGAUGGAGGGGAUUUAGAUGCAAAAGAACGGGAAGAACUCGAACUGAUUAAAGAGCACUUGAACGCGGCGCUGGGAUAAUUAGAGAACGAUAACUUGAAUGAUAGCCUCCGGUGAAAAGAAAUGGAAAAAUAACUCCUGACAUACUCCGGAUAGGUAAGAAAAAGGAAUAUCUGACAAAUGGAAUAAUUCGAGAGGAAAACAUGAAGCUAGAACCACAAAACUUGGAGAGAACAGAUAAGAUUUAGAGGAAAAACUCUUCUUCAAUCUUGAAAUGACGACGAGAAACACCACCAAAAUUACUGAGAUACUCCAGAAGAAUGAAAAGCAAAGAGGUUGACCAACAAUGAAAUUAUUUGAAAUUGAUCUUGGAAAAGAUCUGACUGAUGAAAAUCAUACUUACGUCAAACUUAAAAAUGAUUUGAGAAUAGCUCCGGGAAAUUAGAAGAGUCAGGUAAGAUCCUGGGAAAAGACCUGUGGGUUAUGGGCCCACUAAAAGAAAACACCGUUGGAAAAGGAUGUUGAAAAGGUAGAUGAUGCACCGGAACAAUUGAAAUAUUUGAAUGAGGUGACAACCUUGAAUUAAUUCGAACACAGACGAAUCUUCUGAGAUGUCUUGAACACUCUGGAAUGAAUGAAUGGCGAGAGGCAAACAAGCAAAAAGAACACUUGGUCCAAGGAAAAGAAUGUGAUCAACACCGAAAAAAAACUUGAAUUGAGUCCGCCGGAGAAGAAAAAGAGAUGAAGAAUGACGAACAAAACGAGAAUUUACCGGUUGAAACAAUUGUCGAAAGACUAGAGAUGCUCCACACGAAUGAAAUUGAUGGUCGAAAGAGACUCAAACUCCGGGAAGAAGAGGGUGGGAGGGCGGGAAAACAAAGGCAACUUGGAAGGGAGAACCGACGAAUAGUUUGAAGAGAAAACACCGGGUGAAAGAAUGCAAAGGCUUCGCACGAGUAGGAUGGAUACUCGAUUACAGGCUCCGGCUCCAAGAAGAAAAAGGGGUGGGCGGGUGGGAAAAAUAAAACAACUAAGGAUUGAACUUGGCAAAGAUGAAGAGGCUUGAGUCAACUUGACGAGAAAUGCACCAGAUAAAAGAGCUGAGGAACAACGAUCGAAAAACCAACUGCGUGAUCCUAAAGAAAGUUUGAAAGGGAAGAGGAGUAAUUCAAGACACCUAUGUCAAGAUUCCUGACCAGAGUGACGAAGGGGCUGAGGAGUAAAAAGAAUUCCUACUCUCCGAUAUAACUAGACUCCGAAAAGUUUUCUUCUAGACUCGACAACGACCAAACUACAUGAUCAAUCAAGGGGGCUCCUAUGGUCGGUCGAGGCUCUGAUACCAACUUCUCACGCCCAAGAUGCGAUCCUAUCCUAAAGGAACUCGAAGGUCCCACCAAGGAUAGAAGCACAUCUUGAAGACGCUUUUGGAAGGUGGAUAUCAUUACAUCAACAUUACAUAAUAGAUGGGGAUACAUACAUAGGGCAUACAAUGCCACACGAAUACAACAAUACAUCAUACAUAAGAGCAACAUCCGACUAUGGAUGAAACACAAACAGAAGCUCAAACGACAUCCACCCUGCUAGCCCAGGCUGCCGACUUGCAACCUAUCCCCUGAUCGAAGAAGAAGCAGAAGAAGAACUCCAAAGUAAGCAAACAUCACUCUCGCGUCAUGAUCAUCACAUAACCUGCACCUGCAACUGGUGUUGUAGUAAUCUGUGAGACACGAGGACUCAGCAAUCCCAUUACCAUGGGUAUCAAGACUAGCAAAGCUUAAUGGGAAAGGAAGGGGUAAAGUGGUGAGGUUGCAGCAGCGACUAAGCAUAUAUGGUGGAAACAUACGCAGAUAAGAGCGAGAAGAGAGCAAACAGAACGAUCAUGAAGCUAGCAAUGAUCAAGAGGUGAUCCUGAACUCCUACUUACGUCAAACAUAACCCAAAACCGUGUUCACUUCCCGGACUCCGCCGAAAAGAGACCAUCACGGCUACACACGCGGUUGAUGCGUUUUAAAUUGGAUCUGGUGUCAAGUUAUCUACAACCGGAUAUUAAUAAAUUCCCAUCUGCCACAUAACUGUGGGCACGGCUCUCGAAAGUUUAUACCCUGCAGGGGUCUCCCAACUUAGCCCAUGAUAAGCUCUCGCGAUCACCGAAGGAUAUACCUUCUCCUAGGAAGACCUGAUUAGUCUCGGAAUCCCGGUUUAAAAGACAUUUCGACAAUGGUAAAACAAGACCAGCAAGACCGCCCGAAUGUGCCGACAAAUCCCGAUAGGAGCUGCACAUAUCUCGUUCUCAGGGCACACCGGAUAAGCUAAGUGUAAAGGUACCAACAUAACCCAAGUUGCCAAGGGAUUGUCCCGCACAGUGCUCUCGUUUGGACCAACACUCGGAGGAGCACUGGCCCGGGGGGUAAAAUAAAGAUGACCCUCGGGCUCCGAAACCCAAGGGAUAAAGGGCUAGGUAAGGCAAAUGGUAAAACCAAGGUUGGGCCUUGCUGGAGGAGUUUUAUUCAAAGCAAACUGUCAAGGGGGUCCCAUAAAUCACCCAACCGCGUAAGGAACGCAAAAUUCAGGAACAUAACACCGGUAUGACGGAAACUAGGGUGGCAAGAGUGUAACAAAACACCAGGCAUAAGGCCAAGCCUUCCACCCUUUACCAAGUAUAUAGAUGCAUUAAUACUAUAAGAGAUAUUGUGAUAUCCCAACAAAAUCCUGUCCACCAUGGGGAAAUCUUCAACUUCACCUGCAACUAACAACACUAUAAGAGGGGCUGAGCAAAGCGGUAACAUAGCCAAACAACGGUUUGCUAGGAAAGGUGAAAAGGUUAGAGGCUGACCUGGCAGUUUUGGAGGCUUGAAGAGCAAAUGAUAGGUAGCUCAGCAAAGCGAUAGAACAAAGCGACUAGCAUAGCAAUGAUAGUAGUGAGAUCCAGGGUAGCGGUCAUCUUGCCGGAAAUCCCGCUGGGAAGAAGAACGAGUCCAGGAAGAAGAUGAAGCCACGAAGACGAACCAAAUGUAGACGAACAAAUCCUCACGAUCGCAACGAAACGGGAACUAUCGAGAAGAAGCACACAAUAUGGUAAAGACACCACACAUAUACAUGACAUGAUGCACACUCCAGUAUGAUGCAUGACAAAGGCUACAUGAAGCUACUCAUGGCAAGAGAUGAUGCAAACAAGAGCAACACAUCAACGCAAGUUUAAAUGAGGCCGGAAACAACAUAUAACAAAUUCGGUAAGUCCCCAUAUGCAAAUUUAGAAAUUGGUUCAGAACUGAAUAAACCUUAUGUUCAAGUUGUUAAACAUCAAGUUAAGAUGCACCAAGAUGAUCUACACGAGAUUCUAGUCAAGUUGCAUAUAAAGUUCUUUUAAUUCGGAGCUACGGCCUAGAAGAUAUGAGCAAAACAAGUUAAACAUGGCAUUGAUGCAAAAUGCAUACAAACAUAAAGCAAAUACCUCAAACCAAGGAUUCAACAUGAUAAUAUGAAACUACGUGCAAAAUCAAGCAAGUUUAAUAUAGAGCACACUCAAAACGGAGCAACGGUUCAACACAUACUCUAUGCAAGCUAUAACAACAAUCUGUCCAAAACAGCAACAAGGCAUCUAGCAAGCAUCAAAAUAAUAUUCUACAGCACCUCAACAUAAGAACAAAAGUCAUGGGCAUGAAGUACAGGUAAAGCAUAACAAAACAUGAACACUGAGUUAUAUCCAGAAAACAAUAGAACAUGCUCAAAAGGACAUGGCAAGAUUGCAAAUAAUAACAGUUUCAGACUUGGCAGAAAUAACAUCAGGUUGCAAUGUUUAGAGCUAUCAAACAACAUGUUACAGGAACAUAUCAUGGCAAGAAAAGGAAUGACAGGAACCUACUAAUUGCAUAGAACAAAAGUUCUUUACUGACCAUGAGCCAAAAAGGAACAGAAGAUAUGAUGGCACCCAUGUAAACAUGGCAAGUUAUAUGACAGAUUCAGACAUGGCAGGAACAACAAUAAGUAGACAUGUUGGUGAGCUUGAACCACUCACCACAGAACAAUACAUGGCAUGACAAGGUGACCAACAGUAAGAAUACAUGUUUAUGAAGCUAAGCAUGGCAAGAUCAAUUUCAUAGGGUGCAUGGAUCACUAGCAAAACACAUGGCGCAAACUGAACUUAAUGUUAACAGGCUGACAGCAACAUUAUUCAGCAACUUUGGAGCAAGAUUACAAAAAGAUACAACAGUCUAUAAAUGCAACCAGGGGAAUGGAUUGAUAGAGCAUGACAUUUAACAAAUUAUCCUUAGUGAACAUAUCCAGAUUAUGCAUAGAAUGACUUGUAGCAGCAGGUUUAUAGAGCAUCAUGUUGUAACAGAUUCAGCCUAGCAAAACAGCAACAACAAGUACCCUACUUAACAAGCUUGAUGCACUCACUAAAAGACUCACAAAAAUACAUGGAUUGCACCUCUGUAAAGAUGGCAUGAUGUAGCAUAAAACACAUGUAUACAUCAACCUCAUACGAUGCACACACAAAAUGCAACGAAAAAGACAAAUCAUCAAGUUAUAACAGUUUCAGCAGAUUAACAUCAUAUAGCACUCUUGCAAGGAUGAUUAGGGCAUCAAGAUGGACUCAAACAAACAUGGAACAAUGGAAUGAAAUGAAUAGAAUCUCAUGAUGAACAUUUUGAUAUAUCACACGCACAGAACGGGGCAGUAUGCAUAGAGUUAUGAUGCCAUGAACAGGGCAUCAAAAUGUCACAGAUUCAGGGACUUGGGCAAAAUUCAGGGUCAACCUCCGUGGAUCUGGAUCUGGCGUGAAUUCCGAGGUUAACCGGGCUCUCGCCGGAGUUGCGAUAGAAGGCGACCGGAGAUGAGGGAGAGGGCGCUGGAGAGGGUCGGGGAGGACGGGCCCCGCCGGAUCUGGCCGUAUCCGGCGCGUGGCGGCGGCGGACAGCGGCUGGGGCGGCGACCGGAGGGCGCGGUGAGGCGGAGGGGCGCCGACAAGGAGGCGCGGGGGCGGCGCUCGGGUGGUCGGCGCCNNNNNNNNNNNNNNNNNNNNNNNNNNNNNNNNNNNNNNNNNNNNNNNNNNNNNNNNNNNNNNNNNNNNNNNNNNNNNNNNNNNNNNNNNNNNNNNNNNNNNNNNNNNNNNNNNNNNNNNNNNNNNNNNNNNNNNNNNNNNNNNNNNNNNNNNNNNNNNNNNNNNNNNNNNNNNNNNNNNNNNNNNNNNNNNNNNNNNNNNNNNNNNNNNNNNNNNNNNNNNNNNNNNNNNNNNNNNNNNNNNNNNNNNNNNNNNNNNNNNNNNNNNNNNNNNNNNNNNNNNNNNNNNNNNNNNNNNNNNNNNNNNNNNNNNNNNNNNNNNNNNNNNNNNNNNNNNNNNNNNNNNNNNNNNNNNNNNNNNNNNNNNNNNNNNNNNNNNNNNNNNNNNNNAUCAGGCUGGGCGGGCCCCGCCUGGGCCCGGCGGGCCCGCGGUGGCGCGCGGAGGAGACACGGCGGCGGAAGGUGGAAGAAGACUAGGGUUAGGGGGAUUCAUCCGCGAAUUUCGGGGGAGGUGGCCUAUUUAUAGAUUCUGGGAGCUAGGAGAGUCCAAAUGAGGUGCGGUUUUCGCCCACACGAUCGUGAUCGAAUGACCGAGUGCAUGGAGGGGGUUAGGAUGGGUUUUGGGCCACUUUGGAGGGGUGUUGGGCUGCAACACAAAGAGGGCUUUUACGGUUACCCGGUUAACCGUUGGAGUAUCAAACGGACUCCAAAUGGCACAUAACUUGACAGGCGGUCUACCGGCAAUGUACCAAGGCCGCUUGACAAAUCACGCUCCAUUCCGAGAAUGUUCAACACCCGCUCACAAAAAGAGACAAAAGGGGGACGCUGGAGGACAUAGGAGUGUCGGAUUGCAAAACGGACAAUGAGGAAAAUGCUCGGAUGCAUGAGACGAACACGUAUGCCAAUGCGAUGCACAUGAUGACAUGAUAUGAAAUGCAGAUGAUGACAUGGCAAAAUGCAACAAGCAAGCACAUGACAUGGCAAGGAUGGCGAAUAACUGGCGGACACCUGGCACAUCGAAUCCGCGGCGUUACACCUUGCCAGGAAGUUCAGCCACCUUCUCUCCUGCCUGCAUGACACGUCUCUAGACGGGUGUCAUUUGGAGGUGAUUCCCACAGGAAGUGGCUGCCAUGUGGCAAAAAACAUCCACCUAGUCACUUGGGGGCUUAACACUGCACCGAUCAGUGACUUGCGUUGCUGCAAGGUGGAGCGGUGGAGCCUUGGCAGGGUAGUUUGCUUUCAUGGGGCCCAGUAGGCCCAUCGGGAUGGUCUUGAGGAUCGUCUUUGGGUUACCCUUGACCUCGCUAGGCUCGCCUGCCCAGCAAGGGAGGUUUUCCCUUGGUGGUAUCUUGCUUCCUUUGGCUUGACUUGGUCUUCUUGAUUCGCUCUCUGACUCCUCAAAGAGCUGAUCUCUUUUGCUUGGUCUGGUCAUGGAUGUUGCAGUCUUGCUCUUAGGCCUGUGCAUAGUCUGGGCAACAGACCCAGGGUUUGUUGCACCUACAAGAGCCCCCGAGUCUGGCCCAAACGUGCUAUCGGGCGUCGUCGGGGUAGGCCCUAUCUAGUGCAUAGGCAAGAGGGUAGCAGUUGCUUAUCCUUUGAGAUAUUCUUUGCUUCUUCAUUAACCUGAUCCCAGGCCAGUUUCUGGCUCUUCCGCGAGCCUUGUAACGCCAUUUUUGGUGGGAGAGAUAAUGGGCAAUGAUUUGUUGGGUACCCACGUCCCACGUUCACAAGGCGGGAACUAUGACCCCAUUAUCUUUCCCAGUCCAAGCACCUCCGCCACGUGUAUUACAUGCAUUAUGCAAAGUUGGUAGCAGAUGCGGAGGGCGCAGGAACGAGCACCGCGGAAGAAAGCCAGGCAUCACAGAUUGGUGCAGGGGGUCGGCCUUGAUUCUUCGAGUCGUUAAUGGCGAGGGGGAGCCUGACUGGUCGAACGGCGCAGCCACCUUCGUGAAAAAAAAUCUAGCCCCCUGCUCUGCUCGCCUAUAAAAGGGAACGUGGGGUGAGGCGUUUUCCACACACCCUUCUCCUUCUAUUCCUACAACAGUCUUCGCACACCAUGGCAAGAGGUCGGGAGCACGGCGCUGCUCCAGCGGCAGCGACGCGGACCUCUGCUCGACAGCAUGUCCCUCCUCCCUCUAAAGACGCGGGAGCGGAGCCCGCCGCGAGGGGAGGUGGGAGGGGGCGAGGCCGUGGUCGUCGUGGUGCUCGGGGCGGAGGAGGACGGGGUGGCACUCUGAUUGCGCCCCCUCCGGCCACCCCUCCCCUGAUGGAAGGCCACGUUGGAGACCAACCUCUAGAAUUCAUCAUCAGAUUGUACAAGCUCCGCGCGGCGCGGCCGCCUCCAUCUCCCUACUCCAUUCGCUAGGGUGAUGGAGCUCGGAUAGACGCGCACGUUUAAGUUGCACAUGAGGAGUUGCGGGAAUGGUGGCAUGCGGGUGCAUGUGGAUUUUCCUAACCCUCAUGUCAUGUUCUUCCGAUGCGGCUGCAAGACCUUUGCUCGCGCCCACAGCUUGUCGAAGGGGUACAUCCUCCAUUUUAAAUUAAUGGAGGCCAAUUUGAUAUCCAUCAAGGACAUUGGGUGCUUGGGUGCUCACUUAGGGUGCUGCGUGGAGAGCUAGACCAACGACGAAGGCUCGAGGAGGACAGUGACGGCGAUGACGACAGCGUCGACAGAGAGGAUGACAACUCCGACUCCGGCUAAACAAUAUCCGCACGGUCACCUUCAGGCGACGACACCAUCAUCUGCACCUGCACCACUUUGCCGGCAAGGCGAUUUGCUGGGGAGUUGGAUGUAGGGGUGGGUGUGGUGCCCCUGGCUCAUCCAGCAGCCUUCCAGCUCGACCCUAGCUGGCUUCCUCAUGGGUUGUAGCUUUGUUUGGCCUGCCGCAUCCUGCUGCCCCUGGUGGUGGCAGCCCGGGGGUCGUCCCCACCGAUCUCUUCACCACCACCUUCGUCCGCGCCCUCCAGCCCCCGCCAGGAUCGUCGUUUAAGUGCCUGGCAGGAUCAGGCUGGGCUUCUACCCAACCACUCCUUUUCCCCUCUUCGCCUCCCAUCACAGUGCCUAGGAGGAGAGGGACAAGAAAGGGCAUCACGGGGCACUUAUCUUUUUUCAAUCCAAAAUAUGUAGGCACUUGCCACACUUCAGUUCAAAUUACGUAAUCUCUUUUAUCAAUGUUUGUGUUAUGUAAGAUUUGUACUCAUUGAUCAGUGUCGGUGUUCUGGGAACUAGGGUACCCAGACUUGCCUGCCUACGGCCCAUGGCACGGUUCCAACAACGGCCUGGUACGGCCCAUCCACAGCACCAACAAGACGAGACCCUCGCGAGGGGCCAAGCCUCGCGACGCGAGUGACAUCAAGACCUACGGAGGGAGCGGCCUUCCCAGGCUGCAUCCUGAGGAGCAGAGAUUUCUAUGCGGGUGCUCAACCUCAUGAUCUUGCGAUGACGCAAGCCAUGACAACCAAGGUAAGGUGGGCGCCAGCGGGCGCAGAGCAGCAGGUUUCCUCUUUGGUGCUAAGGAGGCAAGCACAGGCGUAGGUUCUCGAGGAAUCAGCCAAAGGUUCCCAUUCCCGUGCAACAAGACCAAGACUGCCAGGACAGCAGGACGGAUGUCAUCGGCGAGCCCACCAUGGUGUCACGCCGAGGAGCUUUGUAGGAGAAGACCACCUUUUGUCAGGAUAAGAUGUACUACUUGUCCCUGCUCAAAUUGGACACUAUGGGAUCCCUUCCCGCCUACGUUUUAGGGGGAAGAGGACCAAGGGUACUGUAAAUAUAGGCUAGCCACCACCAUAUCAAGGGACGGAACGGUCAGAUCCCUUCAGCUCACAACCACAGUAGAACAAACCUCCUGAGGUUGUUCUUCCCUUGUACUAGUUUAUCCUCAGCCCAUCGGGAGGCUAAUUCACCACAAAGUAGGAGCCGGGUUUUACACCGCAAGGUGGCCCGAACUUGGGUAAGCUGCCGUGUCUAUCUUCUUGUUUUCUUGUCGAGCUAGGCCAUGGGGACGAUGAAGUAAUUGGCUGGAGAGGUUGUGUUCUUCGCACACGCCCCAGAGUUCGAACCUUCUCUUGGGUCUGCGGAGCCCGGAAUCCGACAUUUGGCGCGCCAGGUAGGGGCGUCUUGAAGCUCUUCUUCAAUUCCCGCCUUGCAUCCGUUUCCUCGCGCCCAUGACGAAGGUUCCCUAGGCUUGUGCUGAGCAUUGGGCAGCUCGUACCGCCUAGGCGGCGCCCCUUAGCCAUGGAGUUCAUCAUCACCCCAUGCUCACCGCGGCCGGUGCGGAUACCGGCAUGAAUCACCAUCGGCUAUGUGGGCCUCUCUCGCCCCCUCCCGUCCGGCGUCGCAACUGAGCCACCGCGCGGUCAUCUAGCUAUGCAGUGGCGUCAUCCCUACAUGCUCGCCGGGAGCAGGCAAACAUGCGAGCCGCACUCCUCGUGGCGUGCGAAUUGUUGCGGUUUAGGUUAGCGGAGGGCAGCCACGAUGCCUUGCUCUCCCGUGUCGCCAAGCAGCUCGACGCUGCUUGUGAGGGCAUGGCGCCUUUCCGCAUCGUGCCGACUUAGUGGAUACCCCGAGGGACCCACGCCCGCCACUACUGUGUCUGCUCGUCCCCUCGGGAGGAUCCUGGAAGACCCUGCGGAGGUAACCCAGCACGCGGCGCCGCCCACCUGACCCAAGAGGCGCGCCCCUAGGGAGUGGCCAGGGUAGGAGGCCUCCACCACGGCGAUGGCGAAGAGCCGCUCCCAGGUUGGUGAGGCAGGACAUCGGAGAUGAUGGACAACAAAGCUGAAGGGCUAGGGGUUGGCCCCAGGGUGAUGGUGCCUGGUGCCUCUGCGCCACCCAUUGGCGGGCUCGUUGUACGAGCAAGGGAGGAGCCCGUACUUGUUCCCCUCACUGGACCAGACGUCAUGAUCGCCAAGGCCACAAAGAGCAGGAGCCCCUUAUUGGCCGAUUCAACGUCCUGCCAGCGUCUUCGAGAGCUGCGGCCACCGGUUACAACCGAUAUCUUUGGAACAUGUCGCGAUAACCUUAGAUCACAGGUAACCUGAACGCCACCGCCGUGCACCUCCGUAUGCUGGCCCCGCCUCAGGUAGGCGGGGCGUACUAGGAGAUGGUGCGGGGGGAGCCCAGCACUAGAGCUUCCCCCGCUAUACGUGCCGCAGGGCACCAUCGCAACGGUGGCGCGUGCCAUCCAGAAGUGGGCCCUCCACCGGGGAGGGCGUCAGCGAGCCCUUUCCCCGGUCGAGGGCCUAUGCCCGCCGACUACCGCCCGCGUAGCCCCUUACCCCUUGGUCCUAUCCUGGUUUCCGGAUGCCCCAACGGUGGUCGGGGCAUGCGCGGGGUGGGGUCCUCGCCCGGGAGCAGGGACUGCCCCUCAAAUUGCCGCCCAUGACACUCUCACGUAAUAAUGAGUGGGGUUGUACACGCGGCGGAGACUCCUGAGCACCGCACUCGGGCCUCACGGGGGCUCCCACCCACGUCCAAGUGGAACAACUAUGCUCCGCACUGGCAGUCGACACUGUCCCACAAUGACUAUGCCCACGUCUAGUGGAAGCACCGAGCUCUGCGCUGGUUAGAAGAAUAGUGUAGACGCCGGACGCGGCCAUCUUUUUUUGCUCUCUUUUGUAAUCUGAUUUGCUGCCUUUGGAAUGAAAUUCGGAGUUUUGUGCACUUAUUUAAAAGAAAAAGAGGGGGGAUUUUUGAUUCGUAGUGUUUCCUUAUUCUCCGAUUUGUGUUUGGGAGGCACGGCUUCUGCUUGCUGCUCUCCUCCAAGCGCCCCGCGAGCGGGGGCUGGGUGUGGCGUGCACAUCUGGGCUAGCCUGAGCAGCCUUAGGCCCCCCUCGUGGCCAAGGACAUAACCGCCGCAGGUCCACCUAUGCGCACACCUUGCCAAAGCUUGGUGUUUGGCUCCUCGCGCGGCGCUCUUAGGAGAUCUAGCAAGCAUGCACCAUGCCCGGCAUCCGGCUUUGGGCCUUAGCGGCACUUAGCUCCGGGCGCCCCCCACACACUCCCUCGAAGCUCGCCGCCAUGCGAAGGCGCACCAGGAGGCCUUAAUCUCUUCAGGACCCAUCCUGAGAUUUCGCGGAUUGGGGGUCCCAGAGGACUUUUCUCAGGAGAAGCACGUCUCUGCGAUACAAGAACCCGCCCAAGGCCGCAAACACGAAGAUAAGCCAUGCCAACUACUCUAGUCAGUAGCCCUCCGGCCCAUGACAGCACACCUUCGAUAAUCUAGAGGGCAUAUCAUUGUUUCAUACAUUACGAGGGAACCCCCUCCAAAAAAUGCUUUCACGCCCCACAGGGCUAUACCUGAAUUUUGUCAGGAAAACAGGAAAACACAUGCCUAGGGGGAUGCGCUGUCGCCGGUGUCGCUGUCAUCCUCAUCGCCAUCAGCUACGCCCUCUUCAGCCGUGAGCGCAGCCAUGUCACCGGGAAGGGUGAAUUCCUUGAUCAGGUCAUCCACAUGGUCAUCCACCCAGCUCGCCAGGUCGCCCUGACUUACUCUGGGCACGGGGGCUAUCACGGCGUAGAAGUCGAAGUCGGAAUCAAGUCUAAGAAGGUAGCUGAAGACACGCGAGAACGUGCGCCCAAGAAGGUCUCGACUCUUCUCUUCGACGAGCUGGCACGCCCUCGCAGCUCUGCCUUUGAGGCAGGUCACAACUUGGGUGAAGAAGCGCAGGUAGCCGGCAUCAUCAACUUCGUACGAGAAGGCGAUGCUCUCAUUAUAAAUGGUGUCUAGGGCUUGGUUGGCCCUGACCCUAAGGUCCUCAAGCAUCGAGAAGCGCUCACGCUGCAAUGUCCGGUGGCGGCCCGCCUCGUUCGAGGCUCUCUCCACGAGGGACGUGACACCCGCGACUUCCUGAUGAAGUUAAGACAGCUCGGCCUCAGCGGAGGCUCGGACCUCUUCAUCGGCCUUCUCAUGCCGCUCUGCCAUGGCUAGCUUCACCUUGAGGGCGUCGGCCUAGCCCUGUAGCUUGACUUUCCGCUGCUUGAAGCGAGUCUCCUGGAGCCCUAACUUUUGGCGGUAUUCCUCGACAAGGGUCUUGCGGAUCCACGCCACCUUCUGGUCGACCUCUCGUUGGAUCCUCGCCUCCCGAGAGGCGAGGGCGUCCUCAGCUGCGGCUACUAGGUGCUCCAUCACCUCCAGCCGCUCGCGCUCUAGGCUGUGUUCCAAUGCCUCGAGCGCCAGCGCUUCCUCGCGCGCCCAGACUCCCACCUCGUCUGAGGGGGUCCCUCCUGGUGGCGCUGCAAGGGAAACUCUGCGCGCCUGGAGUUGCCGCUCAAGGGCGGCGUUCGAAGCUCAAAGCUCCCUCUCGUGCUCCUCGGCCGCCUCACGACGAAGAUCAAGGGCCCGGGCCUCCUCCAAGGUGUGGGCACAUGCCUCCCAAGAAGCAGCAAGGGACUCCUCGGCCUUCACGGGAAUGCGCUCGUGCUGCAAGCACCCGAGAUCAAUGGCGAAUUUCAGAUGGUGCCAUUCACGCGCCAGGCGAAGGUCCACCGCCUCGAGGCGAAUGUCGACAUCGGCCAGCUCUGCCCCGAGGCGGCCCAGCGUGCUCGUCUCUUCUUGGAUAAGGUUGUGGCGGACGGCACUGCACCCACAUGCGGGCUCCAAUGCUCGUUCGGGCCCUUCCUCCGCGCCCUAGUUUGCAAGAGGGUCGCGAGGCGACUCGCCCGUCUCCAGCAGGGUGCUGGUGGCCCGGGGGCCUUCAAACGCUCCCCGCGGUACGGGCGAGGCAUGGCGUGGUCCAGUCCCACCGCUUGAAGAUGGAUCCAUCGCGCAGACCGCCCAACCACCGGCAAGAACCAGCGGAGGAGCCCUGGGCACGGCCUCGAUGCCCCAGAGUUCGCUUUGGAAGAAGAAUGUUGGGAGCGCAAGCCCGUGGCCCUCCGGCAGCAGCCUCGACUCAUGAGCCGGCACCAUCUCGUGUGUCGUUGCCCGGCUUGGGAGCCCGGGGAUCGCGAGCAAACCAGAGGCCUUCGGAGAUUGUGCUCCGGGUGGGCUCAUGAUGACUGUUGGCGUUCUGGGAACGGGGGUCCCCAGACUUGCCUUCCUGCGGCCUGCGGCGUGGCUCAACUGGGGGCCCAAUGCAGCCCAGCUUCAUCAGCUCAAGCUCAAGACCCUCACGAGGGGCCAAGCCUUGCGGGGUGGACAACAGGAAGCUUCCUCAGGAGCAGCCUCCCCAGGCAGGCUCGCGAGGAGGCGGAGAGAUCCAGGGAAGGUACCUCCCAAGGAGCCCGUGACGUAAGCCAUGACGAAUGAAGACCAGGCGGGCGCCAGCCUGCGCAGUGUCCUUGUUUCCCCUUCGGUGCAAAGGGGGAAAGCACAGACCAAGGCAUCAGGCAAAGGUUACCGUUUCGCUGCAACAAGACCAAGACCAGUAGAACAGCGGGAUGGAGGUCAUUGUGGAGCCCAGGGCGGCGUCAUCGUCAGAGUGUUUGGCAGCCGAAGACCAACUUUAGUCAGGAUAAGUGUACCAGAUGUUCCCCUUCAAAAUGGCCAAUUGUUGGCGCCCUUCCCGCUCAUUAUUUGGGAAGAGGCCCAGGGCCUCCCUCUAUAAAUAGGGCUAGCCACCACAGAGUAGCGGCAUCGAGCAUCUAUCUCAAGAAGACGCAUAGACUAGAGAGAGGCGACUGAACUCACCCAAGCAGUUCAUCGCACGAGCUCAAGAACAGCCCCUCGCGAGGCUGUUCUCCCUUUGUACUAUUCAUCAUCAGCCCCUAAGGCAAUCCACCACACCACACACUGGAGUAGGGUAUUACACCACCAUGGUUGCCUAAACCAGUAUAAAUCUUGUGUCCCUUGUGUGUUCUUCUUUCUUGCUUAGAUCCUUGUGAGACUUUGAGACGUGAGCUGGUAGGGGAAAGAUCUUCGUGCGCACCCUAGUGUUCAAACCUCAAGGGUCUGCCGGAACCCGAAAUCCGACAUUUGGCAUGCCAGGUUGGGGUGCACCAGAAUCUUUCUUCCGCUAGUCGCGUCUAAUCUUCCGCCGUAUCCACGGAUGACGCUCGCCGAGCUCGCGCCAAGCGUCAGGUUGCUCUCGCCACCCGCGUCGCCCAGACGGCACCCAUCGGCGGUCGCCCCCGUCGUUCCCCGUCACCUGCCGCCAACGUCGCUACCGGCCCGGCGGAGAACAAGCAGCACGCUUCGUCCCUGCAUCCUUUGGUGCGGUGCGAUGGCCGCACCGCCACCCCGUCAACGGGGACGAAAAGGUCAUGGCGAAUUGGUUUCCCAUGGCACUCAAGGACGGUGCCCGCACCUGGCUCUUGAACCUCGCUCCUGGCACGAUCUCCUCCUGGGACGAGAUGCGCACCCACUUCAUCGCCAACUUCCAAGGCAAUCGCGACCGGCCCCCGACCAUGAGUGACCUGCGCCACAUCAAACAACAGCCAGGAGAGACCCUGCAGAAGUACAUCCAGCGCUUCAACAACGCCCGCCUCAAGAUCCCCAGGGUGACUGAGGAGGCCAUCAUCUCAGCCUUCUCCGAUUGCGUGCAUGACAUCAAGAUGAAAGAGGAGCUAUCAAUCCAUGAAGACUUGUGCAUAUCCCUAGAGCUAUUCAACUUGGCGACUAAGUGCACCAGGGCUGAGGAAGGGCACCUCUCCCUCCUCAAGCUCCCGGCUGCCGACCCAGAAGAGAAGAAGCCCAAGGUCAAGGACGUGAAGCGCAAGGGGGCUGCUGUGCUCGCAGCUGAGCCAGACACCAAGAGAGGCAGGGAUCAGCCUGAGUCAUCCAAGGGCAGCUGGUACUGCGUGUACCACGACCUCCACACCCACAACACCAAUGAAUGUCAAGAGCUCAGGGCCAUGCAAGAUGGGCGUAUCGGCCGAUGUCCCGACUGCAACGACCGGGGCUAUGGCUGAGGAGGUGGAAGAGGUGGAGGACGAUGGGAAGACGGUGGCCCUCGCCAAGGGUGGCAUGACCGACCUCGUGAGGACCGCUGGCAGGACCAGCCUCGCGAGGAAGGUUGGAGGGAUCAGCCUCGUGAGGACCGCCCUCAAGGCAACGCAGGCCUCCCUCCUUUGCCACCGCCGCCAAGAAGGAAUGAAGACCAUCACCAGGACAAGGGGGCUGGGGGCUUCCAGGAGCCGCGCGCAAUUGCGUGCAUCCUGGGCGGCGCUCAGGCCCCAGCCUCUCAGCGCAUCUUCAAGCAGUUUGCUCGCGAGGUGAAUGCCGUCCUCCCCAAACUUGAUGCCAUGCGCCCUCUCAGGUGGUCUGCAUGCGCUAUCAUGUUCAGCUCAGCGGAUCAGCUCAAGUGUGCAGCAACGGCCGGAGUCCUCCCGAUGCUUUGUUCCCUAGUCAUCAGCAAUGUGCAAGUCACCAGGACCCUCGUCAACGGCGGAGCUGGACUCAAUGUCCUGUCCGUCGAGACGUUCAACAAUUUCCAAGUGCCAUAUGAUCAGCUUCAGCCGACCAAGCCUUUCUCAGGAGUCACUGACGGUUCCACCGUUCCAAUAGGGCAAGUUCGCCUUCCUAUCACCUUUGGGCAGCGCAACAACUACCGCACCGAGCUCAUUGACUUCGACGUCGCACACAUUCGCCUACCAUACAAUGCCAUCCUCGGGUACCCAGCUCUGGCCAAGUUCAUGGCAGUGACUCACCAUGGCCACAAUGUCCUCAAGAUGCUAGGAAGCGGUGGAAUCAUCACAGUGCCUUGCGAUGAGAGGGAUGGAAUGUGUUCUCUUGAGCGUGCCUUCCAAGCCGCGGCAAUCGAAGACCCAGAUCACAGGAGCGGGAGGCUCCCAAAGGCGGACCCCAAGAAGAAGAAGGCUUCACCUGGCCCAAACACUCACGAGGCAGGCGCCUCCGGAGGCGAUGCGUCAGGAUUCGCGCCCGUUCAAGGGGCGCCCCCUUUGUCGCAUAGGAAGGCACGCCCGGUGCCCUCCUCGGGCAGGGCUCGGGGGCUCUGUCUUGGAGAGCCACUGACUUUGCCAAGGUCACGAGGGAGGCACUCGGGCACCACGUGGAGGCGUGCUUCAAGGCACGUUUCCCUCAAGAAGGCAUGAGGCAAGGAGGGCCAAACCCUCAGGAGUUCAUCGCGAGAACAUUCAGGAGCUACAGGAGUCAAGAGUAAUGCGCGGCAGCCGCCGCCUACCCGCCGUAGCCCCACAUCCCGGCAAGGAUGGUGGUUGCACGUCUGCAUCGACAUACCGGGGCUCAACCGAGCCGCGUCUCAGAAGCGCCUCUGGCCUUCACGCGUGGGGUGUUGCGAGGGUCCACCUCACAGCUACGUUCGCAUGCCUUUCGGCCUGCCGAACGCGGCUGCUGCCCACCAGCGCCUGAUGAGGAGCAUCCUGGAAGCUCAGAUGGCCAGGCACCGCGCGUUCCUGGAGGAGAUGGAGAAGGACCUUGAGGAGCCGCCUGGACCCCUAGAGCCUCCCAAGGCACAGGGCUCCGAAGGCUCGUGAGGGUCGGCUUCCUCACCGCGCGUCGUCCGCUACUUCAGCAGCACUUCAUCCCCAAUGGUAUUAGGUGACAUCUUUCCAAGUUCCAUUUUCAGCUGGGAGUGCCCGCGGGGCUGCAUCAUUCCAAGGUCGCGUGGGUCCGUCCCUGCGGCAUGUAUCCAUUUUGCUUAUGCUCUUUGUCUACCUUGUUGGGGGCGCCCCUCGGCCUACAUUCUCCCCAAGGUGCUCGGGCCUGAGCCAGCGGCGUUUGCCUUUUUCUGCAUCUAUCUAAAUAGAUUUGCUCCUCCACGCUUAAACCAAUUCCCAUGGAUAUCAUCCGCUGCUUAUCACGGACCUCUCCGCUCUCAUGCAAAGCGCUUGCACGUUAAAAGGGGGCGCCUGAGCAUCGCGACUCAUGGGCUCUUACUGGCUCUCCAGCCCCCACCCCCUGGCCUUGACCCACGACAUCGUGACCUGUCAUACCAGCAAUGGCUGAGCUCGCUCGAGGGCCGGGAUCUAAGGACGUAGAGCAUUUACAUUCUAACCACCCUGCAGGAACACACCAUUGAUAAAGGCCCAAAGCCAGGUGCAACCUGCCUCGAGGUAGGGCCUCGUGAGUCCCACGCCGGCUCACGGGUGCCCAGAUACACCUCUCCUAGCCCUACCAUGUCGACCACGAGUCAGGGCGGGGCUGUACAUGCCCCAGGGGCUCCUCCCAGAGGGGAGCCCCCUCCCACAUACCAGUGGAAGCACCAUGCUCCGCGCUGGCUGACGACACUCCCGAGGAGCGACUAUGCCCGUACACAUGCGGAAGUGCUAUGCUCUGUGGUGGUGAUAAACAACUGACGGCGGCCCACGGCCGUACUAACCUCAGGGAGCCCAGAGCUUAGUGUCUGGCACCAUCGCAACGACUCCCCUCGGGAGUGCCGCGCGAGGGGGCUGGACAUGGGGGCUGCGCCCGGGCCACGCCCGAACGCACGCCACCCAGCCAGGUCCCUCGGACCUGGUCGUCGCCCGCCCCUCCCCGAGCGGAGCCAAGGUACGAAAGCUUGUUUGCACGUCAAGGGGGACUCUUGAGCAUCGCGACUCAGGAGCCUAAUUGGUCACGUAUCCCCCCACUCCUUAGUCCCUUCCUGGUUUCCGGUCGGGGCUAACGGCGGCUGAGGUAUGUGCGGGGACGGGCCCUGCCGACGUAGAACGGCAAAUCCACUCCUAUGCCUCCCUUACCUACUUGCUGUUUGCGCGUCAAGGGGGACUCUUGAGCAUCGCGACUCAGGAGCCUAACUUGCCACGUAGCCCCUCACUCCUUAGUCCCAUCCUGGUUUCCGGUUGGGGCUAACGGCAGCUGAGGUAUGUGCAGGGCCGGGCCCUGCCAACGUAGAACACAGGCAAAUGGGAAGGAAAAUGCAAAUUCUAAGGAAUUCAAAAGCAAAUAUUACAAGCCAUAGAGUGUUUCACAACACCAAACACAAGUUUAAACGCCUCCACGAGGCAUGGUGCAUGUUGCAGGAAUUAAAAUAGGACAGAAGCCGCAAAGGGAUCACUUUCCAGUGGCGCUGCCGCCUGUGGUGGAGUCACGCUGGGUGGCUCCGCCUCCUGAAGCCACGGAACUAGCGGCGUCGCGUCUAGGCAAGAUGCCGAAGGCACGGAACCUCCCCAGCAAAGCCUCAGCUCGGCCCUUCACAGCCUCAGCAGCAGCUGCGGCAAGGUCACCGCUCACAGGGUCCAGCAGGCUGUCGAGGUCGACGUAGGGGUAGCGAAGGUAGACGUGACUGAGGACGCACGUCAGCGCUGCAGAGGACAGGGCACGCGCCUCGGCCUCAGCCGUAGGGCGAAGGCCAUCCGCGACAUCUUCAAGCGCACGGACCAGGGAGGGAAGCAGCUCGGCAGGGCCGUCCUCUUCGCCAGCCAACGGGUCCUCUAAGCAGCCUUCAUAGAGCGUCUUCAGCGCAGCGCGAGCCUUCUCCUCUAGCUUGGCAAAGACCACUCAAUCAUCGGCCAGGACCUUUGCCUGGCGGUCUAGCUCGAUCCUCUCCACCUUCAGCGCCUGCUCUAGCGUCUCCAACCGUCCAUGGCGGUCAACAAGCUCGGCGUCCCAGUCUUUGACGGCAGCCUCCCGAGCCUUCAUCUCGUCCUCCUUCUCCUUGCGGAUGCGGACCUCCUUCGUGAGCUCGUCACGCAGGCCUUGCAGCUCAACCUCCAGCGGCUUGCAGCGGCCCUGGGCAUUCGCAGCGUCACCCUGGGAAGCAUCGCGAGUGGCCUUGGCCUGGCGGGCGGCUUGCUUCUCCUCGUCGGAGGCAGACGCAGCCUGGCUCAGCGCCGCUCGGACAGAGGCGGCAGAGCGGGCCCAGCCAAAAGCUAGCUCUAGGCGCCCGACCACCAGGCAGGGGUCCGCGCUCUGGAGAUCCUCCCGCAGCCGGCUUAGUUCAUUGGCGGCCUGGUCCAAGACGGUGGAGGGAUCAGAAGAGACGGGAGCCGGUAGAGCAGGCGGAGAGGACGGCAGUGUGAUCACAGCUUGGGAGGAAGGAGCCUCCCGGGUCUUGGACAUCUGAGCAGCAGCAUCAAGCCCAGGCACCUCCAGGGUCAGCGGGGCCACGGGGGCUGACUCCUCGCCAGAGUGUCCCUGCUGGGCUCACAACCAGGCAGGGGAGGCACAAGCCUCGACGCCUCCUUUCCCCGCUUAUGAAGGCACUUCCUCGGCAGGCGAACUCGCCUCAAGCGGGGUCGCAGAAGCCCCCUUCAACCUCUUCGCCGCAAGUGCUGGCCUGAUCAAAAGAGUGCAGACGUCAAGUCUCGGCGGCAGAAGCAAAGCAAAGCACGGAUCAAGCACUUACUGGUCAUCGUUCACAGGCUCAAGCAGCCUCCAGCUAAACUUGAAGCCCGAGAGCCUGCACCUGGGGUUAGCCUUGGGAGGCACGGAAGCAGAGGGUGCGUCGGGAAGGCUGGAGCUAGCCUCAGACCGCCAUGGAGCCAGAGCGGAUGCUGGGAGCACCAGCCCUGACCUGUCCUUCCUCGGGACCAGGGAAGAAUCCUCCCCUCCUUGCCUAGCGCUGGCCUCGUUGUUGUCCGACAUGGAGGCAGGGCGCGGGACUUGCACCAGGGAAAGGACUCCUCUGACUCCUCGCCAGUCGCCUCGGAGUCAGACUCUUCUUCCUCCUCACUCCCGCUGGAGUCGCUGGAGAACACAUUCACCGUCGGCAACACCGCCAGAUCCCCGGGAGCCACUGCGGGCACCAGCCCCUCACCGUUGAAGGUGGGCAUGGCGUUCACCACCAGCUCCCUAUCGCCGCGAAGAAACAGGGGGACAGGAGCACCCUCUAGCCUCGCCACGUCUCCCCCGACCAAGGAAUGGAGGGACGCGACCAGAUCUUCGUCAGCCAGGGCUGCAGAGCUGAAGCGAAGGGCAGCGUUCGCUUCCCCAAGCCUCCACAAUGGGAGCGAGUGCUCCCGGAGUGGAGCCACCUGGUGCUCCAGGAACUCCCUCAGGAGCGUGGCCCCGGUCAGGUUCGCCGCCCCCAGGUUGCUUGGCCUCAGGUCCGCGUUCAUCCUCUUCAGCACCGCCCUCGCGCGGGGGUCGACAAGCUCCACGCGAGACCACGCAUCAACAGCCUUGGGCUACCCCGUGGGCAGCACCAGUCGGGGGUGGAGGCGCCUGACAUCCACCAUGACCCACUUGCUCGGGAAGCCUUCGAUCCUCUUCCCGGGCUUCGAGAUUGCGUUGGAGCCGGAGUAUGCGAUAAAACUCGCGCAUGCGACGAUGGGGCCACGAGAAACCUGGAGGUAAAAGUAAUGGCGCAGCAAGUCCACUGAGGGCUUUAACCCAACAUGAGCCUCACAAUAGUAGGCAAAAAUCGCCAGGAGAAGAACAGAGUUGGGGUGGAGGUGCAGAGGUUGCAAGUUGUAUAGGCAAAGAACAGCAAGGAAGAACUCAGAAAAGGGGGCACCAGACCGGCGAUGAUGGCGCUCACAAAGAGCGGGUAGAAGGUGCUCCCCUUGCCUUCAGGCUGGUCGGAGCCGGCCUUCAACACAGUCGCUCCCACGUUGCCCUGCACCACCGUCCUUAGGCGCAUGAGGGCGAGAUUCCUCUCCAACACAUUCGGGGGAUCCAGAUCUGGCGAGUACCAGGCCUCGGUCGGGGUCUCGCGAGGCACCAUGGCUUGCCGGAUGGGAAGGAUUGAGGAAGAUCUGGAGGAUUUCAGACGCAGGAAGGAGAAGAGAGAGAAAGGGGAUCUAGAGCAAGGCAAGCAAGAACAAAGCAGGUAAGUCUAGCCUGGGCACCUCUUUUGUUAGAUGGGCAGUUGUCGAGGCGUUGUGGGGAAGCGGAGACGCCCACAUCCAAUCAACCGCCACGCGGCGCCCAAGGCCACAGGCUGUUGGGGCCCGUGGCGCUUCACACUUGCCCCUUCGCUUCUCUGCUAAGCCAACUCCAGGCGCGCCUUGGGCCCGGGGGCCACUGUCGGUGUUCUGGGAACGGGGGUCCCCAGACGUGCCUGCCUGUGGCCUCCGGCAUGGCUCAAGUUGGGGCCCAAUGCAGCCCAGCUUCAUCAGCUCAAGCUCAUCCUCAUGAGGGGCCAAGCCGCGCUGGGCGGAGAACAGGAAGCAUCCUCAGGAGCAGCCUCCCCAGGCAGGCUCGCGAGGAGGCCGAGAGAUCAAGGCAAGGUACCUCCUGAGGAGCCCGUGACAAAAGCCAUGACGAUCGAAGACCAGGCGGGCGCCAGGCGGGCACCGGCCUGUGCAGUGUCCUUGUUUCCCCUUCGGUGCAAAGGGGGCAAGCACAGACCAAGGCAUCAUGCAAAGGUUACCGUUUCACUGCAACAAGACCAAGACCAGCAGAACGGCAGGAUGGAGGUCAUCGUGGAGCCCAGGGCAGCGUCAUCGUCAGAGCCUUUGGCAGCCGAAGACCAACUUUAGUCAGGAUAAGUGUACCAGAUGUUUCCCUUCAAAAUGGCCAAUUGUUGGUGCCCUUCCCGCUCAUUAUUUGGGAAGAGGCCCAGGGCCUCCCUCUAUAAAUAGGGCUAGCCACCACAGAGUAGCGGCAUCGAGCAUCUAUCUCAAGAAGACGCAUAGACUAGAGAGAGGCGACUGAACUCACCCAAGCAGUUCAUCGCACGAGCUCAAGAACAGCCCCUCAUGAGGCUGUUCUCCCUUUGUACUGUUCAUCAUCAGCCCCUGAGGCAAUCCACCACACCACACACUGGAGUAGGGUAUUACACCACCAUGGUGGCCUGAACCAGUAUAAAUCUUGUGUCCCUUGUGUGUUCUUCUUUCUUGCUUAGAUCCUUGUGAGACUUCGAGACGUGAGCUGGUAGGGGAAAGAUCUUCGUGCGCACCCCAGUGUUCGAACCUCAAGGGUCUGCCAGAACCCGAAAUUCGACAAUGACCCACAAGUAUAGGGGAUCUAUCGCAGUCCUCUCAAUAAGUAAGAGUGUCGAACCCAACGAGUAGCAAAAGGAAAUGACAGGCGGUUUUCAGUAAGGUUUUCUCUGCAAGCACUGAAAUUGUAGGUAACAGAUAGUUUUGUGAUAAGAUAAAUUAUAACAAGUAACAAGCAAUGAAAGUAAAUAAAAUGCAGCAAGGUGGCCCAAUCCUUUUUGUAGCAAAGGACAAGCCUAGACAAUUUCUUAUCAUGAGAAAAGCGCUCCCGAGGACACAUGGGAAUUAUCGUCAAGCUAGUUUUCAUCACGCUCAUAUGAUUCGCGUUUGGUACUUUGAUAAUUUGAUAUGCAGUUGGAUCGGUGCUUGGGUACUGCCCUUACUUGUACAAGCAUCCCACUUAUGAUUAACCCCUAUUGCAAGCAUUCGCAACUACAAAAUAAGUAUUAAGGUAAACCUAACCACAACAUUAGACAUAUGGAUCCAAAUCAGCCUCUUACGAAGCAACGCAUAAACUAGGGUUUAAGCUUCUGUCACUCUAGCAACCCAUCAUCUACUUAUUACUUCCCAAUGCCUUCCUAUAGGCCCAAAUAAUGGUGAAGUUUCAUGUAGUCGACAUUCACAUAACACCACUAGAGGAGAGACAACAUACAUCUCAUCAAAAUAUCGAACGAAUACCAAAUUCACAUGACUACUAAUAGCAAGACUUCACCCAUGUCCUCAGGAACAAACGUAACUACUCACAAAGAAUAUUCAUGUUCAUAAUCAGAGGAGUAAUAAUAUGCAUUAAGGAUCUGAACAUAUGAUCUUCCACCAAGUAACCAAUUAGCAUCAACUACAAGGAGUAAUCAACACUACUAGCAACCCACGGGUACCAAUUUGUGGUUUUGAUACAAGAUUGGGUACAAGAGAUGAACUAGGGUUUUGAGAGGAGAUGGUGCUAGUGAAGAUGUUGAUGGAGAUUGACCCCUCCCAAUGAGAGGAUCGUUGGUGAUGACGAUGGUGAUGAUCCCCCUCGGAGGGAAGUUUCCCUGGCAGAACAGCUCUGCCGGAGCCCUAGAUUGGUUCCACCUCAUGGCGGCGGAGUUUCGUCCCGUGAGCUUGCUUAUGAUUUUUUCCAGGGUAAAAGCCUUCAUAUAGCAGAAGAUGGGCAUCGGAGGGACACCAGGGGGCCCAGGAGACAGGGGCGCGCCUAGUAGGGGUGGGCGCGCCCCCCACCCUCCUGGCCAGGGUGUGGGACCCUUUGGUGUUUUCUUUGCUCAAUAAUUCUUAUUAAUUCCAAAAAAGACUUCCGUGGAAUUUCAGGAUUUUUGGAGCUGUGCAGAAUCGGUUUCCAAUAUUUGCUCCUUUUCUAGCCAGAAUUCCAGUUGCCGGCAUUCCCCCUCUUCAUGGUAAACCUUGUAAAAUAAUAGAGAAUAACCAUAAGUAUUGAGACAUAAUGUGUAAUAACAGCCCAUAAUGCAAUAAAUAUUGAUAUAAAAGCAUGAUGCAAAAUGGACGUGUCAACUCCCCCAAGCUUAGACCUCGCUUGUCCUCAAGCGGAAGCCGAAAAUCAAAAAAUAUGUCCACAUGUUUAGAGAUAGAGGUGUCGAUAAAAAUAAAAUACGGACAUGAGGGCAUCAUGAUCAUUCUUAUAACAGCAACAUAGAUAGAUUUUGUCAUAUGAUUUCCUAUGCUGAAGUAACAAUCAAGUCACAAUGUCAAGUAUGGUUCAGAAACUUCAUUGUGAACUAACAAACUAUAAUCUCAGUCAUUGAAGCAAUUGCAAUUUAUCAUAACAUCAGAAAGAGUCAAGAAUAGAGCUUUUCAGCAAGUCCACAUACUCAACCAUCAUAUAGUCUUCUACAAUUGCUAACACUCACCUUUGGGGCUUAUUGUGUUUCCUCCCAACGUAUUCACCUUUGGGUGAUGUCAACAAUAAUAAUUCAUGCUAGCUUACAUCCAGUUGGAUAUAUAUAUCAAGAUCUUUCAAACACGUGGAGCUUGCCAAAGGAUAAAAUGAAAAAGGGAAAGGUGAAGAUCACCUUGACUCAAGCAUAAAGUAAAAACAUAUGGUAAAAGAUAGGCCCUUCGCAGAGGGAAGCAGAUGUUGUCAUGUGCUUUUAGGGUUGGAUGCACAAAAUCUUAAUGCGAAAGAACGUCACUUUAUAUUGCCACUUGUAUAUGGACCUUUAUUAUGCAGUCCGUCGCUUUUAUUGCUUCCAUAACAAGAUAGUAUAAAGCUUAUUUUCUCUGCACUAAUAAGUCAUACAUAUUUAGAGAGCAAUUUUUAUUGCUUGCAACAUGACAACUUAAUUGAAGGAUCUUACUCAAUCCAUAGGUAGGUAUAGUGGACUCUCAUGGAAAAAACUGGGUUUAAGGAUAUUUGGAAGCACAAGUAGUAUCUCUACUUGGUGCAAGGAAUUUGGCUAGCAUGAGGGAGAAAGGCAAGCUCAACAUGUUGGGAAUAUAAAUGACAAUAUACUUUAACUGAGAUGUGAGAAAACAUAAAUCAUUACGUUGUCUUCCUUGUCCAACAUCAACUCUUUUAGCAUGUCAUACUUAAUGAGUGCUCACAAUCAUAAAAGAUGUCCAAGAUAGUAUAUUUGUAUGUGAAAACCUCUCUUUCCUUAUUACUUCCUAUUAAUUGCAACGAUGACCAAAACUACGUUUGUCAACUCUCAACAACUUUUAUGCCUCAUACUUUUUAUGUGUGAAGUCAUUACUAUCCAUAAGAUCAAUAUGAACUCUUUUAUUCUUUUUAUUCUUUCUACUUCUUCAAGAUCAUAGCAAGAUAGCAAAGCCCUUGACUGAACACUAAUCUUUAUUAUAGAUAGCUCAGGGACUCGAUUACAUAAAGAGAUCACAAAGCAAAACUCAAAACUAAUUAAUACCAAAGCUUCAAUCUACUAGAUCAAGAUACUACUAAAAGGAUCGAACUAAAUAAAGCAGUAAAGAUAGGAGUGUGAUGGUGAUACGAUACCAGGGCACCUCCCCCAAGCUUGGCAGUUGCCAAGGGGAGUGCCCAUACCCAUGUAAUUAUGUCCUCAGAGGUGGUGAAGUAGGGGUUGUUGAUGAUGUAGGCUUGUCGUCCAUCUUCCAAGGCAUAGGCUCACCAUCAUAGAAGGAUGAACGAGUCUCUCGGAUCCUCAAAUCUGCAGCCAAACUCAUCCUCUUGAAUCUAUAUUCAUACUCACAGUUUUGGUUUUGCAGGUCAUAGAUCUGGGCUUGGAGGUGCUCGAUUGUCUCUUGAAGCUUGAAGAUGGUCUCCCGAAUGACCUUGGCAUCUAG